UGGAAGACAAGUAAUUUGACUUGUAGCAUGCAAAUCUUUCACUUUUGCACCUAUUAUUUCCAUACAAAAUGACCAUUUAUGUUAUCAAAGAUCUAACAUACAUUAAUCUAUGCUUUCAUGGCUUCAUUCAAAUAUAACCCAAAAAGAAUUUCUACGUUAAAUAUUUACAUUAAUGAUAAAAUUAAAUAAAUACAAAUUCAGAUUUUGAAUUAGUAGAAUCGAAUAAAGAUAUCCAGACAAAGAGAAUCAAAUUAUUACGGUACAAGCGAUUUAAAAACUAGAAAAAUCUAGAUAAAAUUUAUUACCUCAUACUAGACUAAACCCAGCAUAUAGCGAUGAAAUGAAGCAGAAACAAAACAUGGUAUGUGUGCUUUUUGGCAUGAUUGAUGAUGAGAUGAUUAGAGGAGGAUAAGGGAUGGCUUGAAUGGUUGUGUGGGUGGUGCUUCAGCUAUUCAUUUAAAGGGAUCAUGUGGGUACAAGUGGAAGUUCAUUUCUCUUAUUUCAUCCGGUAACCUUGAUCUGGAGUGAUUUUUCGAAAAUUAUGUUCAGGAAAAAGUAGAAGAAUUACUAGAAAUCACAAGAAGCUCAUUGCAUAUGAACAGUGUGAUAUAUAAAAGAUGAUUGUUCUAAAUUUAAAAUUGAAAUACCAGUAUUACUACUUUUAUUUUGAAAACAUCUUCAUCUCUAUCAUUUUAAUGAUAUAAUAAUAAAUUUAACCUUCACAGUUUAUAUCUUUUAUCAAUUUGAUCCUUAUUUUUUUUUAGUUAAAUUUUAUCAUUAAUUUUUUUAAAAAUAGUCAUAUUACUUUUCUACCAAAAAUGUUGGCUAAAACAUUAAUUUUGUGACGAUGUUAGUGUGGUAGCCUGAGUGGCAGUCUACGUAUACUAUAUACUAACAUGACACUAUUUGUCUUAUAUAUCACGUCAACAAAAUGAUCUAAAAAUUAUAAAAAUAUUCAAAAAAGAAUAAAAAAAUUGAAGUAAAUGUGGAUUUUCAUGUGAUCUGCGAUAUUUAAAAAUUUAACAUUAAGAGAUAAAUUAUCAUUAUGCCUUUUUAAAAUUUUAUUAUGUAUAUCCAUAGAAAAGGGUAAAAGUACUAUGGAGACUCCUAUACUAGGAGUCAGAUUGUAUUUUCCCCUCUAUUAAAAAAAUAGACAAAUUGGCCCAUGUACAUUAGGAAAAGUACAAAUUGGUCCUUCUAUACAAAAAAUUAUCUUAAAAGAUGAUGUGGAAGGAGUCAAAUUGUAUGUUGCCCCCUCUACUCAAGAAAGAGAAAUUAGUCCUUGUACAUUAGAUAAAAGAACUCUCUUUGUUGGCAGUGGCAAUCUGUACUGAAAUUAGACUUAUCAUUCAAGACUGAAAUCUAAAAUGUUCAUUAGAUGAAUGGAAAAAAACAAGUAAUUCCAUUAAAAAAUAUCUCAUGCUCCUACUAACGUGAAAUGAAAUGAGAAUUCUCAUGAUUUAAUUCAACAACAGGGGGAGCAGCUAUCUUACAACAUGGACACAACAAUGAGAAUUUCGUUUCAUUAGCAUUACAAACUAUUAACCAGUUGGUAUACACGAAUCAGGAAAAAGAACUUUACCCAAUUCAAACUUCAACACCGAGAAGAAGGGGAGAGCUGCGCCCAUUGUCAUUUCUGGAAUAUCGGGCUGCCGUCAUAGCUGGAUCCUGAUAUGCAGUUGCUAAUUUUUCGAGAAAUUCUGUCAUGGUUGGAUCAUCCUGGUCUUUUCUAUCUUUCUUUAUCAAACACUGUAAAACAACAAAUAAUAUUCAGGCCAAGACAACCGAAAACAAAAUGAAGAACCAAGUCGAACAUGGAAAACAAGUACCUGCAAGUCCUAGGAGUUAAGAGUAUUAACAAGCUAUUAACAGCUUAGCUGAGUAUCUAAUACUCAAACACUAGGGAAUAUAAAUAACCAAUGGAUAAUGUAGUUCGUGAUCGUACCUCAGUUGGGUAAGCUUUGAAGAUGGGCAGGAACCUCUUCCGGCAGUAUGCGUUGAAUACAAGCGUAAGAAUCGGAAGAGGGAUAGUUAAACUGGAUGCUAGAGGAAGCUUCUUAAGCCCAAAUAUUCCGAUCGCAAUAACAUGCAUUAGCACUAAGGAAAAUAUUGUUGAAUUGUGCACAAUUGGCCAAAACUUUCCACCAGUUUCGAAUUUGGGUGCAUAUACAUUCAAGAACUUGAAAAAAGAAGAAGAAAUUGUCAAAAAAUUAGAGAUAAAAUGUUGGUCAGAACUAAACAUUGGUGUGUUAAUCAAGGGUGUUAGACACAGAUAUUUCAAGAAAAAUGAUGAGAAAGAGAAACAAAGAAGCAAGCUGUGAAAGGGGGCAUUUCACUGACCUGGUUGCGGUAGAUAAUGUAUCCCAGGCAACAAUAAACCAAGAGAAAUGGCAAAAUUAGUGGGGCAAGGAAGAAAUAAGUAACACCAAGAAGUUUGAAGAAGAGAAUCCUGGGAAUUUCACUGUGGUAAGGGAUUGAAGGAAUUUCAAAAUCAUCUUUGUCAUCAUCUUUCCCCAUAAAUAGUCUUUGCACGAAACUGUAAAGAAGGGGAAACAGACGAAGAAGUUCGGAAGUUGUACUGGUCCAUCCAGAUGUCACAACAUAGGCAAUGAAGAAUGAUGCCUACAUGAAACAUGAAGAACCUUCAUCAUAUCAGAUCUGAAGACAAUGACUUAAUCAUUAAUGAAAAUAAUGUUAAUGUUCAUAUAUAUCGUUCUUAGCUAGAUGUUAAUGUAAAUCUCAAUCCAACACUUCUAUGCGAAAAUAUUCUAACAAUUAAAAGGUUGACAUAAAGUAGGUAGACCAGUCAUGGAUGCAAGGUUUAGGCAUUUGUUUCUCAACCAGAACUAGUGACAAUAAAUACUAACAUAUUUAUGGAUAGAACCAUAAAAGAAUUUAAAGGAAAAAUGAAUUAAACAUAUAUAAGAAAACUCCAUGGCUUAUCCAUGUUUUCACCUGUGCAGGAACAACUUCGCCUAGCAGUCCGGGGAUUUUCUUUGGCUCAAGGAAGAUAUUGACCAUAGAGAGAGCAGAACCUGAUAGUACGUUAGCGAAGAAAAUGUUCCACACGGUGAACCAUAAUAGCUUGGUACACGCAUUUUUCUCUAUCUGACUGUGGGAAAUAGAUCCUUGCAUGGAAGAAAAGAGUAUCAUAAUUGGUGGUACAAUCGAUAGGAACAAUUGAAGAAUGAGACUUGGUAGAUAUCCCGUAAUCAAAUUACUGACGAAAGUCCUGCAAUUUAAGAAUCACUAUUUGUUAGUAUAUUGAGAAAUGAGAAAUCCAUAUUCAAAAGCUUUUUCUAAUUUACCAAGAGAACAUGAAAAAGAAAUGGCCUGCUUUUUUAUUUCAAAAGCAUUGAACCGAUUUUACAUUUCAUAUGCAACAGAGAAAGAAUAUGCACUUACAGGCUUAGUACUCCUUUUAGAAAGGGGAGCCAGGUCUCUAGCUGCUCGAGAUGAGUGAGACCUUGCACGACUACAACUGGAAUAAGAAAUAAAAUUGUAACAGCAAUAUAUGCAACAACAACCACAAUCUUAAACAUCCAUCUUUUCACAAACGAUGCAGAAAAGAAAGGCCAGUAAAUAUCUUUAGGCUCGGGAGCUCGUUCAGUAACCCAUUCCGUAGGAUUAAUCCCUUGUCGGAUGUGCAAAGCUAUUGCAGCACCAAAUCUCGACUUAAAUGACACAAAAGCAGCGGGUAUUUCCUAGCAAGUUUUGAAAGGCAUAAAGAAGAUCAGGUGCAUCAAGUAUUAUCUUCCGUAAUCAAGAUAUGGACACAGAUCACAACUUUCUACAUUCAUAACAGCAAAAAUCGACAAAUUAUAAUUCGUUUCAUAAUUUGAACUCUGUAGGCAUCAGGUUUGGUGUUUGUUUGACCAAGAGAUGAAUAUAUAGACACAAGAGAACAUCACAAACCUCUCCUCCCAAUGAUGAUUGCUCGAGUCUCACAUUAUCUUCUAUAUCUUCCAACUUCCUCUCAUAGUGAUCUACAAGAUCAACUUUUCGACCAAAUAGUCCCAAAAAUCCUUCACGCUUAUGCCUUUGCCGAGAGUUUGUCGAUUUUAAACGACCAAGUGUUCUAUAUAGCUUCUCUGCAUCAUUCUACAUGCAACAACAUGGAACUGUUAAAACCCAGAUAAAGAAUAGCAGAACCCAAAAGGGAGAAAAAGAAUAAAUUCGGAGUUGAAAGUCAUAGUUUCAUCUUAUAUCUAUGGUAACAUUCUUUUCAUCCUAAACUCCCUAUGGUACAUAGAUCCAUUAGCCUUGAAAAGUCGUAGUCCAAUUUCAGAUUAGUUUUCCAAGAAAUAAAAGCCUGAAUCAAUAAAAUAUUAACAAUGUUGAUUACCACAAGACUUUGAAUCUUGCUUGUUCGGCGAACCACUGUAUGUGAAAGAUAAGUUGAAGGAUGAUACUCCGUGAAAAAGUUGUCAACAGCUUGACUGAAGCUGCUUCCAGCUGAGGCAGGAAUACCGCUAACUAAUAUCGUAAACUGAUCUGACCGAGGUUUAGAAGAAUAGAAAUGGUCAAUUCUUUUCAACGAAAUAUAGUUGUACUCCUGCAAAAAUGACCGUAUCACCAAAAUUAAAGCUUUAGCUGAUAUUUAUACAAAUCAACAAUUUUGUUGGCAUAGGCAGAAUAGCAUACAUAAAAUAUCACUUACGUAAUACAGAAGACAGCAUACAAACACGGUGAAAACAUAGGCAGCACAAAAGUGAAUCCAUAACCUUGAGAAUGGCAAAAACUUAUAGUCAGCUUUCCCUUGACAUUAAGAAUUUAAAUAAAUUUUUUAUAAACAAGUUUUUCAUACUCAUAAAAUCUGACAACAAAAAAAGGAGAAAUCACCAGGGAAGCAUUUGGUCAAGUCUCAGCUGCAACGGUUUUUUCUUCUUUGACAUAACAAUAGUUAUUCAGGAGUUUUAAGAUCAGAAACUGAACUUAAGUUAACUAACUACAUAAUAAUUACCUGUUUGAACCAUCAUUCACAUUUGAAAUACUGAAUGACUCCAGAGUUUUGUUCGGCAAAUUAGAGAAAUCAAUGGUUAAUUGGUCGCCCGAAAAAUUAACUGGCAGAAGAACAAAGAUUCCGACGACACAGGCAAAGGCAAACACUCUAACACUGCAUUUGAAAAAAAAAAUCACUAGAAAUUAAUUGAAGAUGACAUGCAGAAAGAUGGAUCCAGAAGAAGCGUAGUAGUACAAUAAUGCACUUUUAUAUGCCACAAAAAUAUCAAGUUCAUCAUGUUGAAAAAAUCAACAAAAAAAAAAAGGUUUCCCUUGCUUGGGAAAAAUAGACACUAUAAUUUUGAACAUGAAGCAGUGAGUCAAAAUGAUCCUACAAGUAGAGAUAUCAGUCUAGCAGAACACUCAUCAAAACAAACUUCACAUGCCUCGAUUAUAGCCAAACCAAGCAGAACAAAGUUAAGACUAUAGUCCAUUAAAACAAGUUUAAAUGAGUAGCUGAACUCAUACAGAAGUCUUGCUAUCAAAAGGAAUUUUGUAAUCUCACCAGUAUGAGUUUAUACUAAAUGGACUCCAGCAACAUCACAACUUAUAUUGCAGCUUUUUUGCUUAGCGAAAGCUGACGUAUUUGUAAUAUCGGCCUUGCAAACCUAUGUUACUCAGACUCAAGUGUGUUGGUUUAGGGACAUGGGUAUGUGGGUGUUCAAGAAAAUAAAGAGUCAGAGCAACAUAGUUGCAUACCAAAAUUUGGUCAAUCUUGCACUAAAGAUUGCCUUGAUAAAUGGCUAGAAUCUAUAGCAUCAAAGCUAAAAAUCUCCCAACAGAAAUGGAUCACUAUAUGUUACAACCCAUAGAAGUGAACUGCAGGUUCUAUUCCUAUUUUUGAAACUAAAGAAACAUUUAAUAAUUACCAGAAGAUAAAAAUGCGCAUAAACACUACAGCAUCCAAGCCUGUAAUUGACAAUAAUUCAUCCUCAGAUGGUUGCCAUGCCCUUUUCAACCAACCAGGUGAUGGUAGCAAUCUUUCCAAGUUGAACUCAUCCUCUUCCUGAGCUUUUCUUUCACUGAACAACCGAGGCGAAUAUACGGGGAUAUUACCUGGCUGGUUCCUCAAUAUCGAGUAUAGUGCAAAAAACAAAAAGCAAAGACCAAGAUUGAUCCCAACAGAAGUUAAAAGGGCUGAGAGUAUCAUCUCUAAAAAGGCAGCUCUGAUAUAUCACCCCCUAUAAAAUCACCAAAUACAACAACUCAAUUGCAGUCAUUGACUGCCCAAACUGAAUUCCCUGAUUCAAAAUUCGAAAGAUUGUGUCAAAAAUCGAAAAUCCCAACACGGGAAUGAACUUAGAACAUAUAAACUCAUCAGCUGAGGAAACAUAGCACACAGAAUUUUGUUAUCAGAACUUUAAAAAGACGGCACAUUAUGAACAAACUCUUAAACACUUUAACCCUCCAUGAUUCUACACAGUUCUCACUUGUCAGACAAUUCAAAAACUCAUAUCAAGCUUAAACUAUAAAAAAUGCUAAUAAUUGGCAUUGGAUUAAAACAAAACAACUGAAACCCAGAAAAGAAAUCUAUGUUUCAAUUAAUAUCUUUAAUUCGAUUCAGUGAUACAAUAAAACUCAGAAAAAAAAUUCAAAAAAGAAUCACCUUCACAAAGAGAGUGAGAAAGAACACCUGGUCAAAGACUUCGCAGAAUGAACUGAAAGGGUAAAUAAAUGGAGCAAGAACACAAAGCUUGGGUUGCUCUUGGAGACCAAGUAAAGAAAGACAAAGACAAAGCCAAAGAAGGGAACUUUCGUAUUCGAUAAACAUUCAUAAGAUCACCUCUCAAGUCUCAACUUUACUUUUUUUUAAAGAUGAACAUAUAUAUGUAUGAAGUGCCGGUUUCUGUCGGGUUAAUUUCACCGUAUGUCCCCAUUCACAUUCUUAAUUUUAUCCAUAAACUUCAAAGUACAUUUUUUUUAAAAAAAAUCUCAAACUAUCAAGAUCCUCUCUCUUUGUUUUUCUAUUUUCUUAUUUUUCAUAGAUAAAUAAUUAAAAAUAAAAAUUUAUGUUAUAAUUAAAAACAAAAUUUAAAAUUUAAUUAGUUAUAAAAAUAUUUAAAUUUAUUAAUUUUUGGUAAUUUUCUCUUUUUUCUUCUAUAUAAAUAAAUGAAAAAUAAAUAAAUAAUGAUUUAGAUUACAAUGUAAAUUAAUAUUUUAAUAAAAUAAAUUAUUGAACUAAUUUAUAUUUUCUAUUCUAGUAACAUUUUUUCCUUCUUUAUUUUCUUGGCAAAAAAUUCUUCCUUAGCUAAAAAAAUAAAAUAUAUUGGCUCAUAAAGAUAAAUACAUAUUAUUUUAUUGUCUUAAAUUCUUCCUUAAUGAUGCUUUGGAUUUUAAAGGUAAAAGGAAGCAAUAUAAAAUGCCAAAUUUAGUAGCAUUAAGAUGCACAUGCUCCACAAACUUCAACUUCAAUCAAACCUCACAUGACAUCAACCAAUAUAUUAAUAGAUGUGGCAUCUAGAAAUGGAAAGAUUGAGGUGAAAAUAAGUUAUGGAGAUGAGUUUCUUUGUGAUUUUGAUAAAAAUUGUUGAGUUUUGAAGAAAAUUUAAAUGAAAAAGCAUGAAAGAAAGAAGGAAAAAACUUCCAUGAAAGAGGAUUGAUCUAUUGAAGCAAGAAAAAGUUGAAGUUGAUGGUUUUUAAGAUAGUGACCCACUUUCAAUGUCUAUGAUGCAAAAGUCUCAAAACUUAUACCAUAUAUCAAAUAUAUUGUAAAAUGAUCAUUUUACCUUCUUCUUUUUUUUGCUCUUUGCACAAUUUUUUUACAAUGAUAGGUAGUUAUCAAAUAUAAAUCUCAUAAGUCACAUUUACUUUUUAAUAAUACUUAUUGGAUAGUGAACAAUUUUAUCCUCUUCUCAACGAAAAUAGAAAUUGUACGAUUUAGUCCUUAUAUUUUUUAAUCUUUUUAAUUUGGUCUUAAAAGUGAUUUUCGGCACACCAAUACAUAUUCCAACUUGUUCUUAUGUCAAAUAAUUAUUAAUAGAUCACAUUUCUCAUUUUUUAAAUUUACACUUUAAUCCUCAAACUUUUUGAAAUUUGUAAUUUAGUCUUUCUUGUCAUAUUCUUUAUUAAUUUUUCAUCAAUUUCCAUCUCAUAUAUUAAUUUUUUUUUAAAACUUUCUUUAUUUGUUUUUGUUUGUUGCAUGGUGGUUGAGCUUGGUAAUUGUGAUAUUAUUGGUAUGAUGAUGUUUUUGAUUUCUUUCAAACAUGUAAAUUUUGUAUGUUGAUAGUAGAAUUUUUUUGUUUUAGAGUUUAGAUUAGUUAGUUCAUUUUUCUACACUAUAUAAUAUGGUAGAGGUGAUCGUUUUAUGUUAAAUUUCAUGCCAUGUGAUAAAUAGAUAUGUGGAUGAAUGUUGAAAUACAUGUUUGGAAAUUUAUGUCAUUCAUGGAAUUAUAAUAGAAACAUGUUUUGAAUUCAUAAUUGUUGAAAUGUCUAGGGAUGACCUAAGGCAUUGCUUGCAUAGCUAGAGUCAAAUGACUUACCUUUGAAUGGUAUAUUACCCCUAGUACAUUUAUUUGAGUAUUAUUGUACCUUUCUUGAUGAACCUCUAUUUUUGAGACCUUGAGCUGAAAAUUUGAGUUUAAUAUUCAACCCUUUUACCCGUCCUCUCUUUUUGAUACACACUUUGAAUUGGACAUUGGGACAUAGGUAUUGUGGUUUAGGUGCAACACUAUACUCAACCUAAUCGCCAAGUUUGAGCUAUAAGAUGUUACAUUCAUUAUAGGAGCAACUACGAUCAAUUUUAUUCAAUUUCAACCAUUAAACAAUUAAAUAUGAGUAAUACAAGCAUAAACCAUUCAUCACAUACAUAACGUCCCUUAAUCGAGCCCUCAAGGUUUUAGAAAUACAAUAGAAACAAUUCGGGACUAAAUUUGAAUCAAUCAGAAAUUUCAUGAAAAAGUUAGAAAAUUUGGACUGUAGGGGUCACACGGCUGAGAUACAUGCCCAUGUCUCAGGUCGUAUAACAUUCGAAAUGGCUUCACACGCCCGUGUGCCAGGCCGUGUAACUGUUUGACUUAUAAACCUUGAAACCUAUAGGGGACACAUGACUGUGUAUCACACACAGCUGAGACACACGCUCGUGUCUUAGGCCGUGUGGACAUGAAAUUGGCCAAAAUCUAGCCAUUUCCAUCACUAACCCACAUAUGUACCUACAAGCAUUUUAGUGUUUAUGAUCAAGGCAUUAUAACAUGAUAAAAACCAACAUAACAUGACCAAUUCAAUAGUCUAUAAACAUUCAACCAAUAUGCCAUGUAAGGCACCUCAAAAGCAAACAUAUAAACUUACCAAACAUGCAUAUACUUGAUCACAUUUCUACCAUAUCAAAAUAUACCAUAACUUGGCCUAUACCAUAUCAACAUAGACUUACCAUUUGAACCAUUUCUCUCAUGCAUCACAAGCACUUAAAUGACACAAUUCAACCAUUACCAAAAUAGUACCAAACAACCAACAUAUAUACAUACCAAAAUCAACAUCUAAGCAUUCAACCAAAAAUUAAACAUAAGUCCAUCUAUAAAUGCCAUUAUAACCUUGGCCAAGACAUCAAGAACUACCGAUAUAAUCGUUGGAUAGUGUGAUAGAUCUCCGACGAGCUUCCAAAUUGAUCGAGCUUCCGAUUAUCUAUAAAAUAUAGGAAAGAAAAUUACGUAAGCAUAGAAUACUUAGUAAGUUCGUAAAACAUGCACAUAACUUACCAUUUCAAUGCAAAACCUUAAAAUUAAACAUGAUACAAUCCAACUAUAAGCUUGGCACAAGCCUAAGAAUCAUGAACAACACAUAUUAGUUCAUCAACUUUAUAACAGCUUGGUUUUCAGUGGCGUCGGAAAUAGUGGUUUAGGACCACCAAAUCUGACUAGUAAGCUCGUGAAUUUUAUUAUUUAGUAUCUAUGAGUCAAAUGUGAUUUUAGAAAGAUUUUUACAUUAGUAAUUUGUAUUUUAUAAGGAUUUAUUAGGUCAAGUGGUUUUAGAAAAUAAGGUAUUGAGAUCUCGUUUCUAUAAAUCGAGCCGUAAAUAUUUUUAUAAAUAUUUUCAGAGAGUCAUUAAGGUAGUAUUAAAGUUUCAUUAGAAAAUUUUAAUGUUUUGAUAGUUAAUUAAUUAAAAAGGACUAAAUUGAAAAAGGUGCAAAACUUAUUAAUUAUAAGAAAUAGUGAUUAAAUGGAUUGAAUGUUAAAAAAAGAGGACUUAAGGAGUAAAUGUGCCAAAAAUAAAAGGGUGGGACGAUAGGUAAGUGCAAAAUAAUAAAAUAUUUGAAAUGGAUGGCAAAAUUGUAAUUUGUAUAAAAUUAAAUUUACAAAUUGAAAUUAAAAAGAGAAAUCUAGACAAUUCUUCAUAAAUAUUCAGCCAAAAAUGCCAUAGGAGAGUCCCCUGAAGCUGGUUUUUAUAUUUUUUCUUCAAGUGAGUUCAAUUCUUGCCCUUUUUCUUGAAAUUUUUAUGUUUUUGAUACUUUUACAAUUAAGUCCAACUAACUAUUUCAUUAGUAUUUGAUUUUAUUGGAAAUUUUGAAAGUUUACAUUUAUUAAUACUAGAUAUUUUUGAUGAAAUAACAUUGAUUUAGAGCUUUAAUUUUGUUAUAUGAUGAUUUUACAUAGUAAUUUUGAUAGAUAUUGAUUUUAGAAUUAAAUUGUGAAAAGACUAAAUAUUAGGGUUUGGCAUUAAAUUUCUAUUAUCAAGGGAUGUAUGAUAGCCUAGAAUAUUUAGAUAAAUUUUCAAUUGAGAAAAAUUAAUUCAUUUGAUAGACUAACUAAUAAAGGAUUAAAUUGUAAAAGUUGUAAAAGUUGGGGUAAUUGUGUAAUUUUGAAAAUUAAGGGGUAUUAAGUGUGAAGUGAAUUGGAACUGAAAUAUAUGCUAAUGAAUGAAUAAUUUUUUAUUUUAGAUCAAGAGCCCGUAGAUCCUCGUGAAAAAGGAAAAUUAGCAGAAUAAUCCAUGAACUUCUACAAAUCUUACAAAUUAACUCAGGUAAGUUCAUAUGGUUAAACUUUAAUAAUUAUAUAGAAUUGAUGAAUGAUAUUAUGUAUUUAGUAUAUUUUUGAAAAAUGGAAUAUUGUUAAAUUAUAAUAUUGAAGUGAAUAUCUGGUUUAAAUGGAACUCGGGAUUGAAUAUAAUCGUUGUGUGGUGCAAGACAGCAAAUGAGGAAUUAACAGAGAAUUACCCAAGUAAAUCAAGGUUCAGAAUUUGUUGUGAACCUCGUGUACUUUUCAUUUGGCUCUCACGAGCUUCUGUUUAACUCAUAUGAGUUUUCGUUUAGCUCUAUUGAGCUUCUAUUUAACCCUUAUGGGUUUCCGUUCAACUCUUAUGAGCUUUCGUUCAACCCUAUGAGUUUCUGUUUAGCACUUAUGUGCUUCUGUUUAGCCUUUGGGCUUCUGAAAAUGAUGUACUCAUAUCCGUAAGCCAUUCUCCAAUUUGGCAAGAUUCGGUAAGUAACUUAUGUAAUUGAAAUCGAAAGACUUAUUGUUUAUUAUUGAUAUUGAUUUGAAGGAAGUGUGAUCAUCGAUUAAGGUUGUGAUUGACAGGGAGAUUGCAUGAAUAAUUUGCUUAUUUGAUUUGUUAUAUUAGAAUUCGGUAAGAUUUAUGUUUAACCCAUUGAACUUACUAAGCUUCAUUAAGCUUACUUGUAUUGUUUAAUGUUAUGUUGGUUUGGAAAUGAAGUAAAUUGAAAUGUGGAUGUGAAUGAUAUAUGUUUGUAUGUAUGUAAUUGGUAGUAAAUUUUAAUAAAUUAAUGAGAUGAACUAAAUAGGUAAGUUUAAGUAUUUGAGUAUAUGUGAUGUUGUGAUAUGUUUAAAACAAGAUUUUGGCUUGUUUUGGUUGCUUGUUUGGGAUGUAUUGAUGAAUCAAAAUGUUGUGUAUAGGUUGAUAUCAAAAUGGGUGAGAAAUGUGACCUUAAAAUGGUUUAUUUUUGUCAACACGGGUAGAGACACGGGCGUGUGGUUUGGCCGUGUGUCCCCUGCAUCCUUUAAAUUGAGAAACAAAAUGCUCAGGUAUUUUCACAUGGCCUAGCACAUGAGCGUGUGGCUUGGCUGUGUGACCCCUGCACCUUAAUUUCAUACCACAGGGUUUAGCACACAGGCGUGUGGCUUGGUAGUGUGACCCAAUUCAGAGAGUUACACGGGUAUGGACAUGGGCUGAGACACGGUCGUGUGCCUCACAUUGAAUGCCCACAUGGCCUAAGACACGGGAGUGUCUCUUGGCCGUGUGAGCCACAUGGCCUGGCCACACGGGCGAGUGUCCCCUACAUCUAAGAAAAUUUUUGAAAUUUUGCAAAAAAUUCCUUGAGUCUUCAGUUUAGUCUCGAUUUAUUUCUAGCGCGUAUUUUGGGCCUCGAGGGCUCACACAAAGGACAAUAUGAAUGAUGAUGAAUAGUUUCUGUUAUGUAUGUUAAAUGGUAUGAGAUAUUUGUAUUUCAUCUGAAAAGCCUGGUAAUACUCCGUAACCCUGUUCCGACGACGGAUGAGGGUUAAGGGUGUUACAAACUCAUAAUUCACUUGAAUUAACAUAAGGUAAGUCAUAAUACAUGAACAACACCAUUUAAAAUCAUCGUUUUCAUGAACAUAGAUAUACUUUCAUUGAACAUUUCCUUUUCAAUCCUUUUCAUAGAUUCAUGACAUAAGCCAUUUGAACACUUAUCAUUCCUUUCCUUUUCAUGUUCGUUGAACCAUAGAAUAACAUUGGAUACGUGGAAAAGCUCACACAAAGUGUGCUAAUUAAACAUAUAACAUUUCCUUUCCUUUUCCUUUACAUCGUUGCUCAUACAAGCUGUGAAAUGGGUUUGCUCACACAAGUUGUAGGUCAAAACGUAAGCUACACGAUGCUACUCACACAAGCUGUAGAGUAUCCGUAACAAAUGUAGGAUCUCAGCCAUCGGUAGGACAUUCAAGACCAACACUCGAAACAACCCUAAUGACAUGUCAUUGUAUCCUACGUAUUCCUAAGGUUCAAACGGGGUUUGAUAAUCAUCGUAACAUCAUUGGAUUUUCACCAUUUAAUUUCAUGGCAAAUAACACAUGAAUAUAUAGAUCAAUAUAACAUUAAGACGUUAUUUAAUCAUACGAACUUACCUCGACAAACAAAAUGUAAAAACGUAGUCGAUCAAUUUGAGGCUUUUGCUUUUACCUAAUCUAAAUCCGUAGGAGGUCUAUCUUGAUGUAAAUAGAUAAAUUUAAUUCAUUUAAUAAUUCCAUUACUCAAUUCAAUCCAUAAUUCAUAUUUUUGCAAACUUAAAAUUUUACCCAUAACAUUUUAACUUCUUUACAAUUUAGUCUUUAAGCUCGUAAAUUGAAAUUUAAGUAAUUUCAUUCUUAAAUCAUGCUAGCCGAAUUCACUAGGGACAUCUACCAACUUAUGCAAAUCACCAUUUCAUGAAUUUAACAUAAAAUUUUAUUAUUUUAAAAAUAAGUCCCUAAAUAACAAUUUCAUCAAAAAUCCCUUUACAAAACUUGUUUAUUUAACAACAAUAACUCAUAAUAUUCCAUCAAACACCAAAAAUCAUGCAAGAAAAUUCAUGGAAAAAAUCCUAACUCUUUAAAAAAUUUUCAAAUUGACCCCCGGGCUAGCUAGAUUAAGCUAGAACGAUUUUGAAAACAUAAAAAUCACUAAAAACUAACCUAAAAAAUGAUCACAUGCAAGAACAUUGCUAGCCGAAUCCUCAAGGUGUUAAAAUGGAGGUUUUCUUCUUUAUUUUCGGUGAUUAAAAUUCUUUAGAAAGAUGAUACCUUAUUUUACAUUAUUUUUGUUUUAAGUUAAUUUAUUAAUUUACAAAUUUAACCUUUAUUUAACACCAAAAUUUCAUUAAUACAUAGUCAUAUACAUCCGCUAACCUCAUGAAUGGUCUAAUUACCAUAUAAAUCCUUUCAUUUUAAAGUUUCAUAGCUAUUUAACACCUUUAGCUAUUAGAACUCCACUUUUGUUCUUUUUAUGAUUUAAUCCUUUUCACAUAAUUAAGCAUGCAAACGUCAAAAUUUCUUAACGAAAUUCUUAUACAACCUCACUAACAUUCCAAAGACAUUAGAAUAAUAAUAAAAUUAAAUUUUACUUGUCACGUUUGUGGUCCCGAAAUCACUAUUCUGAUUUCACUGAAAACGGGCUGUUACACUUACAUUCCAUAUUAAACACUUAAGGCAUCGUCUAAACAUUUACCAAAUAGAUAUAUGCAUUCAUAUAUGAUCACAAGUAAUUCAUCAUUUCAUAUAAGCCAUUUAAGAUUCAAAUUCAUUUACACAAUUCAACCAUUUGACCAUUUUUAAUUCACCAAUCUAAGUUCAAAUAUGGACAUGAUCAUGUAAUAUGUGAUAAGUGCUAAACGUAACAUGUUUUAACCUCAUUCUUAAUGCGUUUUUGGGUGAUUAUUUGAUGUUAAUUGUGAAUUUAUGCUCCUAAUCCUUUAAAUUCAUGUUUUUAUGCUUUAUAGAGCAUUUGGGAGCAAAAGAAACGAAAAACGAAAAAUGAGAGUAAGCUACAGAAGCCACACGGGCUGACCCCUUUUACACAGCUUGUCCACAUGAUUGUGUGAGCCACACGGGCUGCCACACGGUCAUGUGACAGGCUGCAUCGAUUUCAUGAAUUGGCACUCUGAAUUGCGGGAAAACACAAUUUUUAAGGUUUUCGGGCAUUCUAAGACGUAUAUAUGACAAAAAUAAGAAAAUAUGAGUGAGUCAUCAUAGAAUAUUCAAGAAAACAACUCGAAAAACACCAUUGAAGCCAAUUCUGAAGCAGAUUUCCAUCAAGAUUGGAGAUUUCCAAUUGAUUUCUUAGGAGAUUAUCAUGAGUUUCUUUCUUUCUUUCAGUUAUAUUGCAUCUUAGGUGUUUUUAUUUUCAAGCAUGAACUAAUUUUCUUAAUACUUAGGGGAAAUGAACCCUAUGAUGAAUUCUUUCUUUUGAUUUUUAUUUUAUUCAAUAAAUACUUAGAUUUUUUUCUCAAUUAUGUAUGAUUAAUUCUUGGUCUGAUAUUUCUAAAUUAUUGAUCAAUGUUUGAUGUGCUUAAAUUAGAGGAGGAAUAGGCCCUGUUUAAAAGUAGAUCUUGCGUAAUUGAGUGGAGUUGCAUGCAAUCAUAGAAAUAGCACAACAUAAAUCGAUUUAAUGCGAUAAUAGGGGUUUUAAUUAGAAAGAAAUUUCAAUUAAUUAACCUAGAGUCAGUUGCUCUUACUCUCAAAAGGGAUCUUAGCAUAAUUUAGAGAUUUCGACAGAUCAAGUUACUAAGUAAAGAAAUUGCAUAAUUUAGAUUGAUAAUGAAAGAUGAAAUCUAGGGGAAUUCUUUCCUAGGUAUUAUUUCACUUCUUGGUUAUUAAUCAUUUAUUUUUGUGAUUUGUUCUUUGUUGUGUUCAUUAGUUAAUUAAUUUAGUUAAUUUUAGUUUUUCGUCAAUCACUCAAUUUAUUCAGUUAAAUAAUAGAAAGACAGUAAUUACUAGUACUUUUAGUCUUCAUGGGAACUAUAUCUUUGCUCACCGUAGCUAUACUAUUAAUUGAUAGGUGCACUUGCCUUAGUUAGAUUUUUAGUUAGUUUCGUGGACAUCAAUACGCAAAAAUUGACUCAACCUAGGUACAUGUCAUAUGUUUAACCAAAAUGAGACUAUACAAACAUUGUUGAGCCAAUGGUCAUUGCGUAGAUGCUGGAAUUACUUCUCGUAACCUUGAGAUACACCUGUACCUGUGCACGAAAUAAACAAAUCAUAUGCUGAGUGAUAAAGCUCAGUGGUACUUUCAUGAUUCAAGAUAAUUUAUCUUAAACAUUAGUGUCGAAACCACCUUUUUGAAAACAAAAAUUUAGUUGUCGACUUUAAAAAUAAAAAUUAGAGUCGCCACCGAUCCUUUAUUAAGGUGUGAUCGGCUCACCUUAAAAUGAUUUUGGUCUACGAAUUUUGAGAAAACGAGUUCGGAAGUCAGUUACGCACGAGGAAGGGUUAGCACCCUCGUAACGCCCAAAAUUGGUACCAAAUUGAUUAUUUAAUGUCUUAGUGUCGAAGAUUAAAAAGAUUUUUAAAAUCAACUCAAAUGAUGGAAUUUGAAAAAGGAUAAUCAAUUGUUCAAGUCAUGUGAAGAAAUCGAGUCCCAAUACGUUAGGGUACAAUUCCUCAUAAUCCCCGAACUUUGAAUAUCACUUCAUUUUAUGUGAAAAUCUUCAUUUUGAGAAAAAAAACAUGCCACACCCAAUACGUUAGGACACAACAAGUUAAGUUCCCAAAAAUGAUUUUUACGCUCAUGCAUUUUGAAUAAAGAAUAUCUUCGGUUAUUUAAGAUUAACAAAGAAAAUCAGAACCCAAUACGUUAGGGCUCAAUUUCCCUUGAAAACCCCAAACUUCGAAUAAUGCUUUUAUUCAAAAAAAACUUUGAAUCGAGAGAAAAUAAUUUUGAUGUAUUGACAAAACCAAAUAUAUUUUCCCUUUUUUAGAAAAAUGAUAAAAAGUUAAUAUACCUCAUAAAACAAAUACUUUAACAUGAGCUAAAUAUAUAUAUAUUUACAACAAAUGUAUAUAUACAUAAAUACGUACAACAUGUAAGUAAAUUUGGAAAUACGUGUAUGCAUAAUAGAACACAUACAUAUAGGUAUACUUAUAAAAACAAUGAAAUAUGUAAAACCCAUAAUAACUUCUAAGAAAAUAUGUAUGUUUAUUUUACAAAAAUUACAUGUAUAUGUACAUAAUAGCAGAUUAUAAAAACAAUAAAAUAUUUAAUGAUUUUAAAGGAAAAACAUAUACGUAAAUAUAUUAUAGAAAAUAUAUGUGAACUUUAAAUUAUAAAAUGUAUAUGCAUUAUAAGAUAUGAGAAUGGUGAAAAUAAAAUAAUAACAAAUAAAAUAUAAUAUGUACAUGUGAAAUAUAUAUAUAUAUAUAUAAUUAUGUAUAUCUAUAUUUACAAAAUAAAGAAAUGUGUAAGUAUGUAUAACAUAUAAAACAUAUGAAAGAAAAAAAAGAAACAAAAAAAAACUAUACAAAAAGAAAUUUUGAAAAUGUACGAACGAAAUAUAUGCAUGCGUAUAAAACUUAAAAAAUAUAUAUAUAUUAAAAAAUGCAUACAUGUACAUAUAAUGAGGCUGGGCAUUAAAAAUAUACAUGUUGAUAAUAAUAAUAAUAAUAAUAAUAAUAAUAAUAAUAAUAAUAAUAAUAAUAAUAAUACAAAAAUAACAUAAUGACUAAUUUGAAACUCAAGCAAAAUUUAAGAAUAAAUUUGGAAUAAAUACAAAUAUAGGAACCCUAUUGAACACGCACAAAACAGAGGGGGAUCAAAUGGGAUAUUAACCCUUUUCCCUAAAAUGUUGCGUUUCAAUGGGGAUCCAAAUGAAACGGAAAUAAAGCGCGUGGCCAAAUUUAAGAGAAACAAAGAAAUUGAUUUAAACACACUUUUAAACACUCAGGGACCAAACGCGCAAAUGUACCAUCUAGGCCCAAGACGCGCGGAUCCUCCCCUCCGGGUCGGGUCACCGCGCGGGUUUGCCUUAGCCGAACGACACCAUUUCGGUGUCUUUAUUUAAAGCAGUUUUUUCUAAAAAAAACAGAACAUUGGCAGCAGAGAAAAAAAAAGUUCUUUGCUAGGGUUUUUUAACCCCCAACCCCCACUGCCGCCAUUCUCAGGCGAGCCAAUUCCCAGCACACCGCCAAACUCCGAUCUGAGCAAGGCGAACGUGGUUCAACGGCGAAUCCUCGAAGGUAUUAUCCCUCUCCUCUUUUGUACUGUUUCUUUAGAAAACAAAAUAAAAUAAUAAUAAAAAGAAUAGAAAAUGUAAAAACCCAAUUCACCUUCAAGAAAUUUUUCCUCAGUAUUUCUUUUUAUUUCUUGUAUAUCUCUCACACUGAAAAAACAAAAAUUUCCUCCCCUGGUGCAAAUUUUAAUUGGCUUUUAAAUAGCCGAAAGUAACAAAAAAAAUAAAAAUCAAAACAGAAAAUCCCUUCUUUUUUGUUAUUUUUUCCUUGUCGUUGGUGCCUUGUUCCUGUUUAUUGUUGCAGGUGCAAGACGAGGCGCACGUGGAGGCGCGAUUUGCGCGGAGAGGGACUCUGGCUGCUGCGGUAGAGGCGGCUGCGUAUAGGGGAGGCUGGUUUAGGGUUUCAGCAAACUAAUUUUGCUGGGCUAGGGUUCGAAAAAAUGGUUGUUGGGCCAUAUAGGUUAUUGGGUUUGGGCCCAGGCACUAUUGGGCUUGUACAAGCAAAUGAUCACAAAGUAUAAAUACAUUGCUUAUCCAAUUUAUAUUCUAUCAUGCCAAGCAGUUCCAUUAUCAAUUAUAUAUAGAAGCAUACAUAUGGUAAUUAGCAAAUCAAUCCAUUCAUCAUUGCAAUAGAAUUGACCAAUUCAUUCUAGAUGUCAAAUGCCAAAGUCUAUAUCAUUUAAGCAUUCCAUACCAUUUGUGAAACAAAUAUAUAUAGCUUAUAGCUUUAACAUUAAGGCAUCCAAUUCCAUGAUCAAUUAACAUAAUUUAAUCAUUUAGCUUUCGUAUUCAAACAUGAAUUCAACAUCCAUACACACGUCAUUGACAUUAAGUCAUCCAAAUCUCAUGAUUUAUCCACAUCAUUUACCUUUUAACUUACCAUUUAAUCCCUUUUUGGAGUCUACCAAUCUAUUCCUACUGAUUUCAGCCUUCAAGGUUCGUUUCCAACCAUUUUCAUAGUUUCUUUUGUUUACUCUCUUUAACACAAAUCACAUAUAUCACGAGUCACAUAAAAGCACACAUAUAGUUCCAUAUACAUUUAUCAAUUCACAAACUCAUAACAAUUUCAUAUAAUUCAUUUUGAUUAGCAUAUUCUAUUAUCAAUCUAUUUCAUUACAUUUCCAAGUUUCCAAUUUCAUUUAUAAUGUUUUGACUGAUGGAACCUUAGUAAAACAAACUCGGAUACACUGGUGAACUAAGUUGCUCGUCCGAGUUGAAAUUACAUCAAGUUAUCGUUUGGGCUAAACUAUGUCACAUAUUACAUGAGAAUUCAUGACAAGGGUUGGAUCUCGUUAUAUUAGUCGAGAAUCUGCAACAAAUUCUAGAUCUUAUUAUAAUCUAUAAUAAUCUCCAAUCAAGUGCACAUAUAAUCCUAUUGACAUGUUAAUCUAUUCUAGCCUUUUACUAAGUUUACAUGGGCAACAUUUAUACAUAUAUGCAUUGUCAUAAUUGUAAUCAUUCUUAUUCACCUGUCAUACCUGAUUUUCGAUCGCAUUUGCAAUUUCUUACCCUGUACACUAUUCUAUCGCAUGACAAUCAUUUAUUUCAUUUCAUUUCAUUUUUAUUUAAUCCAAUUCAUAUAUAUAAUUUCACAUUCAGUAUCACAAUUUCAUUCCAAUUCAUCAUCAGCACACAAUUAACUUAUACACUAUAUAACAUAUUCAAUCCAUUCUCAUAUUACACAUCAUGUUCUUAAUAAAUCAUAAUAUUUUUAAUUUUAUUCAAUUUAAUCCUCGAUAAUAAUAUCAAUCAUAGCAAAUCAUAAGAUUAUUAUUAAUUCAUCUCAAUAUACCAUCAUAAGUAAUUAAAUGAUAGUAUAGAUUGAUUGAUUGAUAGAUAGUAAAUAUAAAAAAAAAACAGUUAAAUAGCUACAAUUUCUAUGACAUAGAAAAUGUAAAAAUAAUAUAUAUUUCAUGAGAAGUUCUAAAAACAGUCAAUUUUAUAUUGGGCCAAAGAAGAACUUUUCUUUUCUUCGAAACCGCGAACAAAAUCAGAUCAAAAUUUACCUUUCAGAAGAAAAAAAGGUCAAAUUGCCACUCCACAAAAAAAAUUGCAAUUUUUCAUUCCAACCCCUUACAUUCUCCUGUGUAAACCUGAAAAAGAGGUCCAAAAUUUCUUUAGUGUUCACUCUUUUCAUUAUUUCUGAAUUUCCAACAUUGGAAUCCUCGACAAGGUAUCACAUUUCGUCACUUGAUCCAUUUUUUCCGACAUAGGCCAUGAUUUAGCCUUCAAGAAAUUGAUAUUUUCAAUCAUGUCUUCUUUGAAGUUUUAGUUUGAGGCUAUUAUAUUUUUAAUUAUUUGGGUUAGAUUUGGUCUCUGGGAUUUCAAUUUUGAUUCCUUUUCUGACAUUUUGAUUUUGUAAUGUCUUUUUUUAAGAAAAGAAGUUACCAUCCCUGGUCCUGGCUCCUAUGAGGCAUUACAAAUUGGCCAUCAAAAAUAUCAUAUAUGAAAAGUUUCUAGCUCCCAGCUGUAGGUGACUCCAGGAUGCACAGACCAUGGGAUUUCCUAAUGUCUUUUAGGUCUACACAUUGUUUCCUUCAUUGGGUCUUUGUUAAUUUUCCAUUAAUGGAAGCUUUAAGGCUGGAAAAUUAUCUUGUUUUCUCAGUUUGCCUUUUUUCGUCCAUUAUCAAGUUGUAAUCUCAAUUUUCUUCUUUUCUAUUAUUUUCUUUCUUUUUAUUGUUACUUUGAUUCCAGGUACAACACGCUAUGAUUGUUUUAACAUGAUUUAAGUUCUUAAUUAAUAAUGAUUUUUAUAAUGAUACUAUAUUUAUGAUAUUGUAUAUUACCGGUAAUUGAUGAUUAACAAAAUGCUUAAUUUUAUACAUUACGUUUAUGCUUCUUCUUAUUGGAUUAUUUGAUUAUUAAGAAUCUGGAAACCUUGCAUGCACUGAAAUUAGUUGCUUUGUUGCAUAAGAAAGGUGAACUUUUCAAACAUGAAAAUUCUCUCACCUUUAAGGCAGCCUUGGAGAAGGGUUUAUAUAUAUAUAUUUGAAUUCAUUUAUGUUGACAUCCUUUUGUUAAUUGCAGCAGAUGUUAUGAUUCCACCAGGGUUGGAUGUCUUGUUUGCAUCGUAGCCAGCCUCAUUGGUGAAGUAUAAAUUUCAUUAUACUCAGAAGCUUGUUUGAAUAUGGGGGAUGUGACUACACAAUCUAGAAAUAAUGGAUUCAUUGGAGAAAUUAUCAAGCCCUCUAGAGGUGCUUUUACAUGUAUGAUUAAUUCUGAAAUUGUGGCUGUUUUGGCUGUCAUGAGGAGAAAUGUUCGAUGGGGAGUCCACUAUGUUGCAGAUGAUGAUCAUCUAGAGCAUUCUCUCAUCCACUCCUUGAAAGAAUUGCGGAGAAAAAUAUUUUCAUGGCAACAUCAGUGGCAAAAUGUUGAUCCAGUUGUGUACCUCCAACCAUUUUUGGAUGUAAUUCAAUCAGAUGAAACCGGUGCACCAAUAACCGGUGUUGCCUUAUCUUCCAUUUACAAAAUCUUAACCAUUGAUGUUCUAGAUUUGGAUAUUGUAAAUGUGAGAGUUGCUAUGCAUAUGAUUAUCGAUGCCGUGACAAGUUGCCGAUUCGAGGUAACUGAUCCAGCAUCUGAAGAAGUGGUGCUGAUGAAGAUACUUCAAGUUCUUCUAGCUUGCAUGAAAAGUAAGGCUGCAACUAGGUUAAGUAAUAAGCAUGUAUGCAUGAUAGCAAACACAUGUUUUCGUAUUGUUCAUCAAGCAAGCUCCAAAGGUGAACUAUUGCAGCGGAUAGCUCGGCAUACAAUUCAUGAGUUAGUUAGAUGUAUUUUCUCUCAUCUUCCUAAGAUUUGUAGUACAGAACAUGAAAUGGUCAACGGAAGCUCAUUAGUUGCUUCAGGAGUGGUAAUUUGAAAUUUUUGUGGCAUAUAGCUCGGCAUUCAAUGUUUCAUUUUGUAAUUUAUGAAAAUUCUUUUACAGGUGGGUACGCAGAAUGAGAAUCACAUGAAUGGAAGUACACAAUUAAAAAGUGGAAAUGUGGGUAUUGAUGAAAGUGAGAAUAAGGAGGAUGCUCAAAAUGGUGAGAUAUUGAUUAUGGCGCCUUUUGGGAUCCCAUGCAUGGUGGAGAUAUUUCAAUUUUUGUGUUCUUUGUUAAAGGUCACUGAAAAUAUUGAUAUUGGCCCUAAAUCGAAUAUGAUAGUGCAUGAUGAAGAUGUUCCACUCUUUGCAUUAGGCUUAAUUAAUUCUGCUAUAGAAUUGGGUGGGUCAUUAUUCAGCAAACAUCCCAAGUUAUUGGCUGUAAUUCAGGAUGAACUAUUUUAUAAUUUGAUGCAAUUUGGCUUAUCCAUGAGCCCACUUAUUCUUUCGACUGUAUGUAGCAUCGUUCUCAAUCUAUAUUAUCAUUUGCGUACCGAGCUAAAAGUGCAGCUUGAAGCUUUCAUUUCAUGUGUGCUUUUGAAGCUUGUGCAAAGCAAGCAUGGGUCUUCAUACCAACAGCAAGAAGUUGCUAUGGAAGCUUUGGUUGACCUUUGCAGUCAACAGAUGUUUGUGGCCGAGAUGUAUGCUAAUUUUGAUUGUGAUAUAACAUACAGUAAUGUUUUUGAAGACAUUGCUUACAUGUUGUCCAAGAGUGCAUUUCCUGUGAAUGAGCCGCUAGCUGCAAUGCAUAUCCUUGCUUUGAAUGGUCUGGUAUCUAUGAUAAAAGGUAUGGCUAAGAGAACCUGUAAUGAAUUGUCUAUUUCGGAGGAGGAUUCAACAAAUUAUGAGGGAUAUGAAGCUUUUUGGACUUUCAAAUGUCUGAAUUACAAUGAUCCUAGUUCUUGGAUUCCUUUUGUUCGUAAAAUGAAACACAUCAAGAGAAAAUUGACAAUUGGAGCUGACCAUUUUAAUCGAGAUCCCAAGAAAGGUCUAGAGUUUCUCCAGGGAAUCCAUCUACUACCAGAUAAGCUUGAUCCAGAAAGUGUAGCGUCUUUCUUUAGGUACACAAAUGGGUUAGAUAAGAAUCUUAUUGGAGAUUUCCUUGGUAAUCAUGGUGAAUUUUGUGUUCACGUGCUUCAUGAAUUUUCUAGGACCUUUGAUUUCCAUGACAUGACUUUAGAUUCAGCAUUACGUGUUUUCUUGGGAACUUUCCGAUUACCUGGAGAGUCACAAAAGAUACAGAGAGUGAUUGAGGCAUUUGCUGAAAGAUAUUAUGAGCAAUCAUCACAUAUAUUUUGUGAUAGAGAUGCUGCCCUUCUGUUGUCAUAUUCACUUAUAAUGCUUAACACUGAUCAACACAAUGCCCAAGUCAAGAAAAAGAUGACUGAAGAAGAUUUUAUUCGUAACAAUCGACUCAUCAAUGGGGGGAAAGAUCUUCCUCGCAAGUACUUGUCCGAGCUUUACCACUCUAUCUGUGAGAAUGAGAUUCAGAUGAUCCCUGAUCAAGGUGCUGGUUUCCCAACAAUGACAUUAAGCCGCUGGAUUAAUGUGAUAUAUAGAUCCAAAGAAAGUGCUCCUUUUAUUUUAUGUGAUUCUCGAGUGCCCCUGUACCAUGAUAUGUUUGCUAUCUUGUCUGGCCCCACUAUUGCUGCUAUAUCAGUGGUUUUUGAUCAAGCAGAACAGGAAAAUGUUUUACAAACAUGCAUUGAUGGAUUCUUGGCCAUUGCCAAAAUUUCAACACACUAUCGCUUUGGUGAUAUAUUGGAUGAUUUGGUUGUAUCUGUUUGUAAAUUCACAACCCUUUUGACUCCAUUGUCUUUUGAAGAUGCCAUUAUUUCCUUCGGAGAUGGUCCUAGAGCAAGGAUGGCAACCACAACUGUUUUCACCAUAGCAAAUAGAUAUGGUGAUUGUAUCCAUAGCAGUUGGAGAAGCAUAUUCGAUUGUGUUUUGAGCUUGUACAAGCUCAGACUUCUGCCUCCCUGUCUAGCUAAUGAUGCAGCUGGUGAAACAGAUUCCUCAUCUGAUUAUGUAUGGAGUAAGCCUGAUACGAGUUCCUUACUAAUAUCACGGACAACUCCUGCAGCCAUCCCCCGCAGGUCCUUCAGCUUGUUUGGUAGGUUCAGCCAACUCUUAUCCUUUGAAGUGGAGGAACCACUGUUGCAUCCAACUCAUGAACAACUUGCUGCUCAACAGUUCCUUCGAGAGAUAGUGCUAAAAUGCCACAUCGACAAUAUAUUCAUGGAUAGCAAGUUCCUCCAAGCAGAGUCUUUAUUGCAGCUUGUUGAGGCUAUCAUCUUGGCUACAGUUCAAUUCAGCAAGGGAAGUGACAUUAUAGAAGAUGAAGAUAGUGCCGUGUUCUGCCUGGAGUUGCUGAUUUCUAUUACUCUAAAUAAUCGGGAUAGGAUUUUGAUUAUCUGGAAAAAUGUUUACAAGUUUAUAUCAGAUAUUGUUCAACAGAAGGCAAUGCCUUGUGCUCUAGUGGAGAAAGCUGUGUUUGGGCUCCUUAAGAUAUGCCAACGUUUGCUUCCUUACAAAGAAAAUUUAACUGAUGAGCUUUUAAAGUCAAUGCAACUAAUUUUGAGACUUGAUGCUCAAGUUGCUGAUGCAUAUUGUGAACCUAUUACUCAAGAAGUUAUGCGUCUCGUAAAAGCUAAUGCGUCUCACAUCAGAUCCCAUUCUGGUUGGCGCACAAUCAUCUCCUUGCUAUGUAUCACUGCUCAACAUCCAGAAGCAUCAGAGUUUGGGUUUGAGGCUCUAGCAUUCAUCAUGUUCGAUGGGGCACAUCUUUUGCCUUCUAAUUAUGUUCUUUGUGUGGAUGCAGCAAGGGAGUUUGCUGAGUCUUGGGUUGGACAGAUUGAUAGGUCUAUUUCUUCCUUAGAAAUGAUGGCAAGUUCUGUUGUUUGUCUCGUAAGAUGGUCUUACGAAGCCAAGAAUACUGUCAACGAAGAGGCUGCUAUGAAAGUGAGUAAGGACCUUGGAGAGAUGUGGCUGAGGUUAUUGCAGGCACUGAAGGUUGUAUGUUUAGACCAGAGGGAGGAGGUGCGAAACCAUGCUAUUUUAAUGUUACAACGGUCUUUUGCAGGUGUUGGUGGAAUUUACAUUCCGAACACUAUUUGGUUCCAGUGUUUUAAUCUUGUCGUUUUUACAUUAAUGGAUGAUUUGCUAGAAAUUGCACUGGAGAGCUCCUCUAAAGAAUACAAGAAAAUGGAAGGUACACUUGUUUUAGCCACAAAACUAAUGUUGAAAGCUUUCUUACAAUCACUUGAGGAAUUGUCACAGCAAGCAUCCUUCUGCAAACUAUGGCUCGAAGUUCUCGAUCGUAUGGAGAGAUAUAUGAAGUUUAAGUUCCGAGGAAAGCAUAGUGAAAAAAUUCAUGAAUCAAUCCCAGAGCUUCUCAAGAAUACCCUAUUGGUGAUGAAAACAACUGGUAUUCUCAUGCCUAGUGAUGAUGUUGGCAGAGAUAGUCUUUGGCAAUUGACAUGGCUAAAUGUGAAGAAGAUACUCCCAUCUUUGCAAUCUGAAGUGUUCUUGGAACCAGAAUUGGAGCAGAUGCAAGCAAAACACAAAAAGAUAUAUGGAAUUCCCGCAACCAAUGAGACGAUGCUCAUUCCAUCAAAUGAGACCACAACAUGAAGAACAUGGUUCUAACUGGAAAAAUCCUAGAGUAUAAUAUUUGUUAAUAUGAUGUAAAUGGCAUUCAUACCCUGCAUACUAUACAUGUUUCCCCGUUGCAAAAAAGUCAGGAAUCCAGAGCCGAAGCUGCAAAAAAGGAAGUAUACAUCGAAAUUGAAGUUUCAUAAUGUGGUUCUUGAAUCUUAUCUUGGUCGGAAAAAAAGCCUUCAUUUUUCCACUCUCUGAAAUUUCAUAGUGUUGGAAAGAUUUUGUAGAAUGCAUUUAUUCCACCGUAGGAUAUAAGCCUAUUUUUGUAUUGGCACAUAAAAUUUCCUUAUUUGUAUACUUUUUACUCAUGAAAUUACAAUUUCUUAGUACAUCUAAAAUUUUGACAACUUGAUGCAAGUUUUUACACACACAUUGUAUGUACUUUUUUUAAAGCUUUCCCUUAAAAUUUAGUACUAUUGGCUGAAUGGUUAAAUACUUGUAUCUUUCUUGGCUUAACUUAGAUUCAACUAAUUAUGUUAAAUAUAUUUUAUUUAUAUAAUUAUGUUAAAUAUAUUUUAUUUUUUUAAAUCAACUAAUUUUUUGAUAAAUUUUUCUUUAUAUAUAAUUUUUAUAUGUUAAAUAUUUAGUUUUUUUCAUGUAUAUUGUUGGUAUUGUAAAUUCUAAUAUUAUAAAAUCAAUUAAUUAUUUUAAAUAUAAUUAUUUUUAGUAAAUAUAAUUUUUAUAUGUGAAAUAUUUUUUUCCACCUACAUCGUGAGUAUGAUAGAUUCUAAUAUUAUAAAAUCAAAUAAUUAUUUCAAGCAUCAUUAUUUUUUUAUAUUUAAAAUAUUUAAAAUAUCAUUAUUUUUAUAUGUGAAAUAUUUCAAAUAUCAUUAUGUUAUGUGAAAUAUUUCAAUUAAUUAUUUCAAAUACACAUACAAAAAUAUAUAAUACUUAAAUUUACCAUCCAUAUAUAAAAUCAAUUAAUUAUUUCAUAUAUCAUUAUUUUUAGUAGAUAUAUAUAUAAUUACUUGAUGUUUUUAAAAAAUAAAAUAUAUUUAACAUAAUCAUAUAUAUAUAUAUAAUAUUUUUAUUAUAUAAUUACAUAUUUAUUAUUUUAUCUAAAUAAAUAGAGAAUAUAUUAAUUAAAAACAUCAAUUAAAAAUAAAAUAAAAACUUAAAACAUUUAAUUUAAAAAGCAAAAAAGGUUGAAAUAAGAUGUUUAAAUAAAGAAAGAAAAAAGGAAUUUCAACAUGGGUUAGUAAGUGAAAGCGUUAAGUGCUUUUCUAAAAAUGCUACAUAACGUGUUUUUGUCCUCUCAACAUCAAAAUGAUUUAUUUCCCUAAAUAAUGUUAAAAACUGUUUAUUUCCCUAUUUCUUUUAAAAGUAACAUUUAUAACUAAUUUUGCCAUCUAUAUUAAUAUAUUUAAUGGUUAAAUUUUUUUACAUAAAUAAAUAGUUCAAAAAUUUUACUUUACUCCAAACUUAAAUAUAAAUAAAACAUGAAAUAUGAAUAUUAAAGUUAUUAAAAUAUUAAUUAUAAAAAAUAUAAUAAAAAUAUGUAAAUCCAUGUUAAUUUUAUACUGAUAUUAGUGGAUGCCUUUUGUAUUUUUUUUAAAAAAAUUGCUUUCAUUUCUAAUAUAAGGAGCAACCUAGUCAACAACUUUGUUACCUUUCCUGCCUAUAUGAGAAAAAGAAGUCGAAGUAAAACAAAAACAAAUAGAUAAAGUAUGUUGAACAAUGGCAAAAAGUAGACCAUAACUUCAAAAGAGGAAUGCAAGUUGAGUCUAAAGAUGAUAGGUAGACGAACAUAUCCAAAAACAAGGUGAGUCUAUCCUUUCUUGCGAGCUUUUAGGCACUCCGAUCAAACAGCCAAUGCUUCCGCAACGUCAAUGGAUGACGAAUGAUAAGAUCAACAUAUUCGUCCAAAAUAAUUUUAGUAUCAUCCCUAAACAUCACUCCAACACUAAACUUGCAUGUAUUUGGAUCAAAAGAUGCAUCACAAAUUCCCUUUUCACAAUUAAAGGCGAUGGUGGAGUCAGAAAUAUUUUUUUGGAGUACUAAAAUUAAGUUAUAUAUUUUUACAAUAGUAAAUAUGUAAUUUUAUCAUUUUAAUAGUCUAUAUCUUUAUAAUUUUUUAAGGAUUAAAUCAAAUUUUUAUUAUUUUGGAAGGCCAAAGUAAAAUUUUACCAUUAUUAAUUUAAAAUUUUAUAAUUAUAAAGGGCCUAAAUAGAAAAUUUUCCAUUUUAGGGGAGGCCGGGGCCCCUUCCAAUCCCCUAGCUCCGUCACUGCACCCAAGCACUCAAUUGAUUCUUGUUACGAGGGGUAGUGAAAGUAAUCCUAAGAUCAUUCAACUUAGUGAAGUCAAAUAAGGCAUUAUGGCACACUUCUACUAGGUUUGAAUUAGUUCUUUCAAUGAUGAACCAGUUACGAGCCUUCCAUAAAUGCCAACAUAGGUACCCCCCAAGACUUUUUGAACAAAAGGAUUUGAAGGAGGGAAUAAAGCAUUGAUACUAUCCCACCAUUCUUUGAGAUUAGAGAACCUCUCACAUCGUGGACAGUAAUUGAAACCUAAAGCACCUGAUGUUGCACAUGCUAAGGGGCAAAAAACCAACACACCUUAAAUAGUCUUGAUUUCUUCAUCACACAUUGGGCAAAGAGGAUCUACAUCCCUAAACCUUUUGCACAAGUUUUUUUUUAGUAGCAAUAGCAUUAUGACAUAUUGUGCUUGACUUUAAGGGUUGUUUAGAGUUUCUAAAGUCAUUUCCAUCAAUUCGAAGAAGCCUCAGACAAAGAGUUAGAGUUACUUGAUCGUGAAGGAUCUGCAUGAGAAGAAGAAAGAUAUUAAUAUCCAAAUCGGACAUAGUAACAACCAUUUUUUGAGAAAUGCCAAAUAAGGUUACCUUUAGUUUCAAAAUAUCUGAUAGAAAUUCUUUCAAUGGUUUUGCAUUCCUCAUGAUUAAAAAGUUCACGAAUUAGAUUGGACUUCCAUGCUAGCCUUUCAUAAUCAAUAAGGUCUUUUUUUAGCAAUGGACUUGAUGCAUUAGAAGAUAGAAAAGAAGUGACAUGAGAAGAAGGUUACCUUACGCACUUGAGAGUGUUUUGAAUAAUGGGACUGUGGAAGAGAUCCCUGUAUUUUUUAGAGCUGAUCCAGAGUAAUGUCCAAAACACGCUUAAUGCUCUAAGCCUAGGAGUAAUAAGAAUCAUUGUGUGAGAUAGGCUUAUGUCCAAUAUCUUUAUUUCAAUAAAAUGCAUCUUUGUUUCUCAAUUCGAGCAAAUAUUCUUUUAUUGUUUCAAUUUCAUUCAUAAUCAUACUAUACAUAUAAAUAUUCUUAGAUUCUUUUAUUCUUUGGAUCUUUCUUCGUCCCUAUAACAGGUCUCUAGAUAUCAAUGAUAUGAGUGACACUGCUAUUGACUCAAAACCUCCUUUUGAGCAAGAUAUGUGUCUAGAGGAACCUCGGGGCUUUAAAGAUGGUCGAGACUGCAACUUAUCUCCUGAUUUGUUAAGGAUGGUAGAGCAAGAUCCUACCUUACAAAGAAUCAAUGGAAGCCAUGGCCUUUCUCUAUGUGGGGCACGGAUGUCAUUGGACCAAUCUCGCUAAAAGUUUCUAGCAGUCAUUGAUUCAUCUUUGUGGCCAUCGAUUACUUUACUAAGUAGGUGAAAGCUACUUCAUAUGCCAAUGUCACAAAGUCGACAGUCAGCGAAUUCUUAAAAAAAUCAUAUGUCAGUAUGGAAUUCCAAAAAUGAUCAUAUCUGAAAAAUGCACUAAACUUGAACAACAGUACGAUUGCAGAAGUUUACAGUCUGUUCAAGAUUAACACUAUAUCGCCCCAAAGUGAACAGUGCAGUGGAGGCAAAAAAACAAAAAAAUAAAGAAAAAACAAAAAAGAGCCUCUACCGGGGUUACGAUUUUCUCUUUGACUUAUCGCAAUUUUUCCCAUGGAAGUCGAGAUUCCUUCUCUCCGAGUUUUUUGGAUCCAAUCCUGAUUGAAGAGCAAGGUUCAAAUUUAUCUGUCAUGGUCAAAUAUACCAAAAACAAAUGAUGCGAGCUCACCAAAAGGGUUCGCGCCAGAAAAUUCCAUGAGGGGGACCUACUAUCGAAGAAGAUCCUUCCUAUACAAAAAGGACUUCAGAAGAAAGUGGAUGUUAAAUUGGGAAGGACCUUUUGUGAAAGGCCUUAUUUGGAAAAGCGUCGAUAUUGACCAGGAUGGAUGACAAGAACCUGCUUAACCCUGUGAAUUCUGAUUCAAACAAGAAAUACUUUAUUUUAAAAAAAAGAAAAAAAGAAAAAAAAAAAAAAGAAAAAAAAAAAAGAAAAGAAAAGAAAAAAGAAAAAAAGAAAAAAAGAAGAAGAAAAAGAAAAGAAAAGAGAAAGGAGAGGCCAAGGCAAAAACCCGCAAAGGGAGCAUUGAGACCAAAUAAGUUUUGAAUUGAAAACCUAGGAAAAGGAAAAUUCAAAUUUUAAUUGAAGGUGGGGCAUGCGGUAGUCUUACUAUGCCUGAAUUAGCAAGAAGGAGGGAUGCUACAUCUUAGGGCAUCAACAAAGCAUUUUGAAUCUUCGAAACACAUAACAAGUCAAAAAGGUCCUCAAAAAGUUUGUGCGGAGAAGCUUAUACUGCGAUAUUUGGGCCACCUGUUUUUAUCUUAUUCAUUUCGUAUCUUAGAAAAAUUUGCUAUCUUAAUCAAUUUAUUCAUUUCGAGCUUUGAUUUUAAUAAAAUUUCAUCUUGUCCAUUGUGAUAAUCUUUUUCAAGUAUUUUCCAUUGAAAUAACGAUUAAUGGACUGAUAAUAUUCAAGCAAAAGGAGUUCUGCAUAUUACUCUGAAAGCUUCUAAAUAGUACGAGGACCUGAAACAGGACUAUUGUUUAGAAUUAACCUAAAGGUUGGCAACAUUUGAGAAAGAAUGGUCUAAAUUGAGACUAUUUCUUUAGAUUUUCUGUUAAAGAUACCAGCUAAACAAGAAGGCAUGGUAACACAUCAAUGAUAGAGCCUUGAUGAACAAAGAGCAAUGACAACUUAAGCAUUAAAGAGGGAUCAUUCUCGAAAAAUGACAUUCUGCAUUCAUGUAAAUAUCAUUCAUACAUAUCUAGUGAGGAGUAUUUGAUUCAUUCUGAUCAUGACAUCCUAAUCACUAGGCAUAAAUAGGUCCAUAAAAUAGAUUCUACAUGUCAUGUUUCCCAAAGAAUAGAUCAGUGAAACCACAAAUCCUAUACCCCUGAAGUUGCAAUGAGAUGGAUUGAAGUUAUCAUGGCGAAUCUUAUCUCCCUAAAGUUGUAGUGGAGCAGAUUAAAGCCACAAACCUUAUCUCUCUGAAGUUGCAGUAGAGCAGGUUGAAGUAACAAACCUUAUUUCCCUGAAGUUGCAGUGGAAUAUAUUAAAGCUAACAUAUUUUAUCUCUCUGAAGUUGCAGUAGAGCAGAUCAUAUCAAACCUUAUCUCCCUAAAGUUGCAGUGGAGCAGAUUGAAGCUACUAAUCCUAUCUUCCUAAAGUUGUAGUGGAGCGGAUUAAAAUGAUGAAUCCUAUACCUCUGAAGUUGCAGUAGGUCGAAUUAAAUCUACCAUAACAAGUCUUAUCUCCCUAAAGUUGCAGUCGAAUUAAAUCUACCAUAACAAGUCUUAUCUCCCUAAAGUUGCAGUGGAGCAGACUGAAGAUAACCAACCUUAUCUCUCUAAAGUUGCAGUGGAGCAGGUUGAAGAUACCAAUCUUAUCUCUCUGAAGUUGCAAUGUAGCAGAUUGAAGCUACUAAUCCUAUCUCCCUGAAGUUACAGUGGAGCGGAUUAAAAUGAUGAAUCCUAUACCUCUGAAGUUGCAGUAUGUCGGAUUAAAUCUACCAUAACAAGUCUUAUCUCUCUGAAGUUGCAGUGGAGCAGAUUAAAGCUGCAAACCUUAUCUCCCUGAAGUUACAGUGGAUCAGGUUGAAGAUACCAAUCUUAUCUCCUUGAAGUUGCAGUGGAGCAGAUUGAAGCUACUAAUCCUAUCUCCCUGAAGUUGUUGUGGAGCGGAUUAAAAUGAUGAAUCCUAUACCUCUGAAGUUGCAGUAGGUCGGAUUAAAUCUAUCAUAACAAGUCUUAUCUCCCUGAAGUUGCAGUGGAGCAGACUAAAACCAUAAAUCUCGUCCCCCUGAAGUUGCGACAGAGUAGAUUGAAGCUACAAGUCAUAUCUCUCUGAAAUGCAGUAGAGUGGAUCAAAGCAACAAGACACAGUGGACUGGAAGGAGGCUACUUAAAGAAGAGAAGCACCCAAAUAAGUCAAGACUCGGCAAGACCGUGCAAAAUUAGCAUUUUGAAGUCUUUGCUCCAUUCUCGUUACACGACAAUGAUCAAAGAGGGGCAGCUAUAAUAGACCAAUUUUGGCCUGGGCCCAAGACCCAAAAAUAAAUAAAAACAAACCAAAAAUAAUAAAACAAUCCCAGUCCAUUACAACAAAAUUAACCCAAAAUACCCCAGCCCAACAAACUAAACUAAACCCAAUUAUAUGCCAGGCCUAAUACCCAAAUCAGACCCAAACCCAGCUGACCCAAUAGUCAAACUAAGGUUUUAGAAAAGCUGAAACCCUAGCUAGCCCUCAGCGCUGCCGUAGCCACUACCACUGCCGCAGCCACCAACUCUACCUGCCAUUGCCAUUUGCGUCUGCAAAGAUCAGAGAAAGAAGUGACAACAAACAAAUAGAAUAAAAAUUGUGUAAAAAUGGCUAUAUAGAGGGGAUUCAAACGGAUUGUAAGGGGUUUUUGGAGAAUACAGAAACUGAUUAAAAAAAAUGACGAACAUUAGAAAAUAAAAAAACAAAAAAACAAUACUUCAGAGGUGAAUCCCUAUUUUUAUUUUCAUUUUAAACAUUUGUUCGAUUCUAUUUUUCAUUGUUUCUUUUUAUAUACAAAAAUGAUAAAAAAAUAAAAAGAAAAGGCUCACCUGAACGCCCGUGACCACCUUGCCGGGGAUUCUUUCUCUGCCACCGAAGUUGGGUUUAAAAAAGGGUAUAGGGUCAUUUUCUUCACGAUUUUCUGGACUAGGAAGGCUUCGCCUUCAAAUCCAUUUUAAUAGGGGCUAAAAGCCCCAUUUUUGCGUAGCUCCGACCACCGCCCACAGUGGGGGCUACGGCGGAGGUGUGACGGGCCGACGACGGACUCUAAGGCUAGGCUUGGAACCCUAGCAGAGAAAAGAAAAAGGUUUUUAAAAAUUUUUUUUGAGGGGCGGCAGAAAUGAGUUUUGAGAAAAAAUUUUGGUUUAAAUAGAGAUACAAAACGGCGUCGUUUUGGGCUAGGGUUAACAAGCGCCAAAACGACGUCGUUUAAGUCUGACCCGCGUGCCGACCCAACCUGCUCCCUAGGAUCCGUGCGUUUUUUAACGGAAGGGCUAAUUGCGCUUUUAGCCCUUCCGCCUUUUUAUUAUUUGCAAUCAAGUUUAUUUCAUUUUUUAAUUUUGCCCUAUAAUUUAUUUCGGCUUUCAAUUUGGUCCACCAUGAAGCUGUGCAUUUUGGAGGUUGGGGAUUAUUCCCAUUUGGUCCCUCCUUGUUAUUCGUGCAUUCAAUUUGGUCCUUAUCUUCUUAUUUAUUUUUGAUUCACCCCAAAAUUUGGUUUUAAAGCUCAAUUUAGUCCUUUUUGUUAUUUUGGCUAUUUCAUUAUUAAAUUAAUUAAUGUAAUAUUAUUAUUACUAUUAUUAUUUUCCUUAUAUAUAUAUAUAUAUUGUUUUAUAUAUAUAUUUACUAUUUUUAUUUAUUCAUUUAAAUACAUAGUUAUUAUUUCUUGGUGCUUUAGUAUUUAAAAUUGCCUUCAUUUUUAUCGUAUUUUUUUGUGUUAUUUUCAUUUCAUUAUUGUUAUAAUUAUAUCGCAAGCCACGUUUAAGUAUAUUCCUUUUACACCAUACUUCAAAGGAAAAUACACGUCAUUCAAAAUUUUAUAAUAAAGAAAAUUUUCAAAAUAAGACAAUGUUCUGUAUUUAGAAAGGUGAGAAGUCAUGCCCUAACUUACUAGGUUUCGAUUUUUUCUCGUUGAACCUAAAUGACCGAAUAUCCUUUUAAAAUUAAAAUAUGUGAGUCUUAAAAAAAUAAAAGAAAAGUUUAUUCUCGAGGAUUUGAGGUGUUGUAUCCUAACUUAUUGGACGUGACAUUUUGUUAUCUCGAGAUAGAAGGGUCUUUAACAUACAUUUUGAUUUAUUUAAGAAAAUUUGCAUUUAUUCUCGUAUCGGGGUUUGAGAAAUUGUGUCCUAACUUACGGGACAUAAUUCUCUUUCUCGAUUAACGUGAAAUAUGCUCCUUUCUCGAAAAUUUUUAAUAUUUUAACAAUGGAUCGUAUUUUAAAUUCUUUUCGAGUUUUUAAUUUUCGACAUUAAGACAUUAAGUAAUCAACUAGGUACCAAUUUUGGGCAUAUCGAGGGUGCUAAUCCUUCCUUGUGCGUAACUGACUCCCGAACCCGAUGUCUGGAUUUUUUGUAGACAGAAAAAUAAUGUUUUAAUAAAUCAAACUAUUUAUUAAAACGAUCAAAUAGCGAGGUACUCCGAUCACACCUAAUAAAAAGGAUUGGUGGCGACUCCUAUAUUUGUUUUUAUUUUCAAAAUAAAAGUCGACCCCUUUUUCAAAAAAAAUGGUUUCGACAUCCACCUAAGGUUUUUUUUCAAAAGAGAAAAACCUUCAAGUAAGCUUUUCCAUGCCCAUGAAGACCCAUUAGAUUAAAGCCUUUAAGCAUGAUGAAAGGAUAGUAAAUGCCUUUCCUGAUACAUGCCCAAAAAGCAUAUGGGAAAGAUAGCAACAACAAAGCUUGUUUGUCUAAAAGAGCAAUAUUAUAAUUUUCAAGUUCUCUAAACCCCAUUCCUCCAUUGUUUUAGCUUGUGCGAGAUGUAUCAACUCAUUUAUUAAUAUCCUCUUUCUUUAUAGUUUGACUUGUCGCAUCAAAAUUUAUUGAGGGUGUUGUUGAGUGAUUGGAAAAAUAUAUUUGGUAAUUAAAAUAUUGCAUGAAAUAAAUCGAAAGAACUAAAGCAACUUCUUUGAAUAAAGUUUCUCGAUCCGCAUGAGAUAAGAACUUUCCUUUUCACCCUUGAGUUAUGACAUGGAUUUUCUCAUGGAUGAAAUCUAAGGCUUCUUUCUUGCUCUCCCCCAUAUAACUUGAAGUUCGAGGUAUUUAGAAUCAUUUUGUAUAUCAUUUACUUCUAUCGUGCCUCUCAAAGAGCAUUUCACCUAUGUUAGCGUAUUGGUAAAAAAAUAUGGAAGACUAGUUGAAGUUAACUACUUGCCUUGAAGCAUUUUCGAAUCGUAGUAGACUGUCAAUAACAUCUACACAAUUACUUUUGUUUGUAACUCUGAAAAUGAGACAAUCGUCCGUAAAAAGGAAAUGUAUCAAAAUAAUUCAUCAAGGUUUGAUUUUGAAACCUUUGAAUUGAUUAUUAUUAAUCGUUUCGUAGAAGAGGGUCGAGGGAGUAUUAACAACAAAAUGAAAGAGAUAAGGUAAAAGUGGAUCACCUUACCUUAACCUAUGAUCAAAAUUCCUUUCCUCUCAUUUCAUUCACAACCAUAGAGAAAAUUGACAUUAGUAAUAUAUUCCACAAUUCUUUGAACCCUCCAUUCAUAAAAACCCCACCUUCAAAAAGAAUUGCUCAAGAAAUCCCCAAUCCACAAAUCAUAAGAUUAAUAGCCAUCAUUCCUUUCUUUUUCUUUUUUUGUUAAUAGCAUGAAAGACUUCAUCUUUUCUAUAAUAGUACUUAAGAAUGCAUACCUUGGGGGGAAAAUUUUAUUGACUAAUAUAUAGUUGCUAAUACGGAACAAAGAACGCAAAGGCUAAUCAUACUAAGAGUUUUACAGAAAAGUAGAACAUUGCUAGGGUGAUAUCGAUUUGGUCGAGUUUUUGAAUUGUCCAUUAUAAUUUUAUUGACUAAUAUAUAGUUGCUAAUACGAAACAAAGAACGCAAAGGCUAAUCGUACUAAGAGUUUUAGAGAAAAGUAGAACAUUGCUAGGGUGAUAUCGAUUUGGUCGAGUUUUUGAAUUGUCCAUUAUAAUUUAGUUCGGUUUUUGAUUUUUUUCAUGUUAAUUUUUUGUAUAGGAUUUUUAGAAAUAUUUUGACAAAAUAAGCUUUGUUUUAUGAAUUUUAAAUAUUAUUUAACAAAAUUUCAAUUUUUUCAUAAAUAUUUUAAAAAAAUAUUAAAUUUUCAAGAAAUUUGAAUUAUUUUUACUAUUUUAAAUAUAAAAUACUUAAUUUUAUAAUAAAAAUUAAAAUAAAUUAUAUAUUAAAUAACAAAAUAAAAUUCAGUUUAAUUUUAAGUAAUAGCUAUUUUUAAAUUUGUAUUUCAAUAACCGUCGGAGUUAAUUUGUGAUUUUUUAGUUUUUUUAAGAGAACCUCGAACAAUACAAUCAAAGUUUAUAGCUUGUAUACGUGUCAAUCACAGACCUCGAGACUCCCAAAAGCAAUCAAAUUACUAAGGUGUGUUUAUCAUCGCCCCCUCACCACUUCCUCACACGAGAAAAACGAUAAACAAUAAUAACCAAAAGAGAUGUCGUUCCGUCUCCUUUUACUUAAAAGGUAAGGAAUAUUGUCGAAAGCCACCGAGCCACGAUCCUCGCCAUCUCAGGUUCUCCCUCGGUCGCUCACUCUCUAAUGUUUUCAACUUUUUUUUAAUAAAAUUUUGUGCUGAUUUUCAAUUGAAUUUCCAUAUUUUUCAGUUGAUUUUAAAGAAUAGUAUUUUAGAAAAAGGUAAUUAAAAGAUGGGUGAAGUUUUCGAAGGAUAUGAACGGCAGUAUUGCGAGCUAUCCGCGAAUCUUUCCAAGAAGUGUACGGCUUCUGGUGCUCUGAAUGGAGGUUAUAAUUCAAAUCUUUAUGCAUAUAAACGAUUUUCUUUAUUUCUUUAAUUUUUUUUGCUCCUGAUUGCUGUUACGUAAUGGCAUAAUCAGUGGUUCUGUUUCUAAUUUAGCGUGAUUAAGGAUGCUCAGGUAAUUUUGUGUUAACUUUGUUGCAACUAUGCUGAUUACAGUUUAGGAUUUAAUUUAAUUUUUGAAACAAAAAGAAUGCUUAAUUGGGAGAUAUUAAGUAGAAUAAAUCAAGAUCGGAUUUACUUUAUCUCUCGUUUUGUUUUUAAAUUCAAAUUUAAUAUAAUUUAAUUAAUAUUCAUGAUUUUCACGAUGUUAUUUUCUGCUUAAAGUAUGUAUUUGUUUAUUUAUUUAUACUUCUUUGUGGAUUUUUCUAAGGCGUUGAUGUAGAUUUGGGGAAAACUCGAACAUUUGCCACUUAAUUUUAGGACUUUGACCUAAAUACAUCUAUUGAAGCAUUUGAAAUGCCCUGAAUUUAGGCGAUAAAGUGAAAUUUAGAACGUGAUUCUGAAGUAUAUAGUGGAAUGCAUUUUGUGAUUGGGAUUAGUUUUCAGUUAUUUAACUGCAUACCGAUAUAUUUAAAAAGCCAUGAAUUGGAAUUUUCCAAAGCAACUUGUAUAACCUUAUCAUAUUUUAGUGUGCGAUGGUGAAGCUUUAAGAAGGCUCUUAGUUUGUUCUUAAUUGCAUGUAUCAUGUGAAUACCUACAACAUGGAAGCGAUGGAAAAGAGUUUGCUAGACAGAGAUUAAGACAUUUGGAUACAAAAAAGAAUAAACAAAGUAAAAAAGGGAAGUCAAAGGAAAAAGCCAUGAAUUGGAAUUUUCUAAAGCAACUUGUAUAACCUUAUCAUAUUUUAGUGUGCGAUGGUGAAGCUUUAAGAAGGCUCUUAGUUUGUUCUUAAUUGCUUGUAUCAUGUGAAUAUCUACAACAUGGAAGCGAUGGAAAAGAGUUUGCUAGACAGAGAUUAAGACAUUUGGAUAUAAAAAAGAAUAAACAAAGUAAAAAAGGGAAGUCAAAGGAAAAAAUUAUCUAUGUUACUCGGACUUAAUGUGAGUGUUGGAUAUAAGUGUGUUUUCGACAUAGGUAUGUUUUACUUCUUUAAAGUUUUCCAAUUUUUUUGGAGUGCCUUUGGAUGGUCAUACACCCAUGCCUUUGUUUGGAUAUCUGUCCAACAUGGGUACUUCAAGAAAAAUUAAGACUUGGAGCAACAUAGUUGAAUUGAAGUCAUCGACUUAUGGCCUGGUAAUAAUGACAUUGAGCUGAUAUGGCUUAUGGUAUACCAUUUAAGGAAUAAGAAAGAUCAAUGUAUGUCCCUGGUGGAAUAAAAAUUUAUUUGGAGUGCCUUUGGAUGGUCACACACCCAUGCCUUUGUUUGGAUAUCUGUCCAACAUGGGUACUUCAAGAAAAAAUAAGACUUGGAGCAACAUAGUUGAAUUGAAGUCAUCGACUUAUGGCCUGGUAAUAAUGACAUUGAGCUGAUAUGGCUAAUGGUAUACCAUUUAAGGAAUAAGAAAGAUCAAUGUAUGUCCCUGGUGGAAUAAAAAUUUUAAGUUACCUUAUUUUAAGAAAAAAACUGUUGUAAAGCUACCUUUGCUUCCACCUGUGUAAGGAGUUUUGUAGAGGUUCAUGUGUAAUUCAUCAGAGGUGUUCAGUGAGAAAUGUUUCCAAUUUCUUUGAGCAUCAGCAUUUCUAAUUAGCCAAUUGUUCUUGUUCCAAUUCUUAAUUGGUUUCCUGAUUUUCAGAGAAGAAGAAACAAAAACUUUCUGAAAUAAAAGCUGGACUAGAAGAUGCAGAAGCUCUGGUACCUGGUUCAUUGCAUGUUUCAGAUUCUCAUUUGUUCUUUCCUUUAUUUGAGUAUUGAACUUGAUAUUGCUCAUUUUGUUUCUCAGAUUCGGAAAAUGGACCUUGAGGCAAGAAGCUUGCAGCCAAAUGUGAAGGCUGUACUUCUUGCUAAGUUACGGGAAUAUAAGUCAGAUCUUAACAAUCUCAAAAGUGAAGUUAAAAGAAUUGCAUCUGGCAAUUUAAAUCCAGCUGCUCGAGAUGAGUUGUUGGAGUCUGGAAUGGCUGAUGCCCUCACGGUAUAUUUUGGUUCUUAUGCCUAAAUUUUUAAUGUGCUGUUGUUCUAUAAUUGUUCUGUUCUUUACGUUUAACUUUUGAUUAGUUAUAAAUGAACAUGCAAUAGGCAUCAGCUGAUCAAAGAUCAAGAUUGAUGACAACUACGGAGCGGUUGAAUCAAAGCAGUGACAGAAUUAAGGACAGCAGAAGAACCAUGCUGGAAACUGAAGAGCUUGGUGUUUCAAUACUUCAAGAUUUGCAUUCUCAACGACAGUCUCUCUUACAUGCCAAUAACACGGUAUCUCUUUACGGCUUAUGUUCUAUAAUACUCUAAACAAGUAGUAUGCUCUUUUUAGCUUUAGUUUUAUCAUAUUGGAUUUGUUGUUUCUUUCCAUCUCUAUUUAGGAACUGUUUGAUUAUGAUGUUAAUUUCAUCCCAAAAAGGCAUCAGCAUGCUACCUUGUAGAAAGCAAGCAUUAUUAUUUUCUUUCUCCCCAUUUUGAGUUACUAUUACUUGAGUUUUUAUGUUGAAGGCUUAUUUAAUAGUUAGACUUAUAAACCCCUUUUUGUUGGUUUAAGUAUCUAGGAGGCUUUGUAAAUUUUAAUGUAGUCCAGAGGUGCAAUUUGUUUUACUGUAGUAUUCAGUAAUUUAAUAUCGCUUUGUUGAUAUUGAUGCAAACAAGUAAAAUUGAUAACGUUCUUAAUGAAAAACAGCCUCAAUGCUGAUGUGAAUUUAUGAAAUUUGAUAAUACAGACUUGUAGGUAAAACAUAUUAUUUUGUCAGAUUUGAAUCAUGUCCACAUUUAGACAGUUUUUCAUUAAUAUUGUGAUCCAUGUUUUACUUGUUUGAACCAAUAUCUAUUGUACAUGAAACAUUGCUUUACCAUAGUACAUGGACUGUCUAGAUGUUUUUAACACCAAUUUAUUACUUGAUUACGGUUAUUUGACCAUAAAUUUUCCCUGUCAACUCUUGUUGUUGAUUGUGAACCUUUCCAUUGCAUGAGCAUGCGAUGUCGUAAGAGGACCUCUUACUCGAUAAUUAAACCAUGGAUUUUAUCUCAUCAAGAUGUAAUGGUUGAUCAUAAACAUCUGAAGUUGGGUUUCUUAUUUGGUUACAGCUUCAUGGAGUGGAUGACAACAUUGGCAAGAGCAAGAGAAUUUUGACAAAUAUGUCGAGGAGGAUGAGCCGGAACAAGUGGAUCGUAGGUAUCAUUAUAUCACUCCUCAUCAUUGCUAUCAUCGUUAUUUUGUACUUCAAACUUGCUAAAUAAUCCCUGUUUGUUUUUAUCUUCAACUCUUGGUUUUUGGGUUUUUUUUGGAGAAGUUUUUUUUUUUUUUUUUUUUGUUUCCCAUUUUGAGUGCCAAUUUGAAAUGUGUGCUUCAUAAACCCAAAGACACUGUAUUAUUCAUCGUUUCAAUUCUAUUUGAUGACUUUUAUGAUAGUUUUGUCCACUCUUGCACAUCAGCUUACAAAGAAAAAGUAGCAUAAUUUGUUAAUGGGUUUAUGCAAACAACAAAAAAUUUCAUCUUAAUUAAAUAGUCUUAUUACAUUUAAUUUCUGGAAAGAACAAUGAAGGUGCAACCGAAAAAUGGCCAAUCCCUUGUUUGAAAGGGAUAAAUCUUAAAACUAUACAUGAACUAUGGUUUAAUGUACAAAUGUAAUAGAUGAAUUUUGAUUUUGUAUAAUUUUAUAUAUAAAAUUUUGAUUUGAUUCACUUUAUGUAAAUUAUUAAUACAAUUAUUGAUAUAAAAUGUUUAUAUGAUGUAUACAUAAAUAAUUAUAUUUAUCUAAUAUAAAAAUAAAUUGAUGUAUUUAUUUUUGUGUGUGUGAUUAAAUUAAAAUUAAAGUUUUAAGUAUACAUUUAGACCAUAAUUAGAGUUUUACGUGUAUAAGUAUACUAAAUUAAAGUUUAUAAAUAAAAGAAAAAUGAAGGUAGAGUUGCUCCCUUCUAAUCCAAAACUGAGCUUUAGGGAAUAGAACAAAAACUACAAAAUUUCCACUUUAAAUUGAUAAAUAAGUCUAUUUUCAUUUAAUUUCUGGGGAUCGCACCUCACCAUGGCUCUUAGUAAGGGAAUAGAAGGAAAACUAGAGGAGCUUCUUGCUCUCAAAAAAUGACUUUAGAUGCCAUAUCUGCAAGCCAGCCACAGACAAGCAAAGAAGCAGCGAAAAGAAACUUAGAGUAGCCAUUUUUGAAUUUGUUUCUUUGUUUAGCUCCUGCAUUUCUUCGUCCCUGUAAAACAUGCAAGUUGAAUAAGGAAACAUGGAAUCCAAGCCUAUGAUGUUUUCCAGACCCUGCAUUUCCCCUAAACUAUCUUCGUCCUCAACUAGGGGAGUCAUGAAUUCACAGCUAUUAUAACAGCAAUGGUUGUUUCAUACCUCUCACGAAGAUAGAACAUCUCUUCAUGAAUGGCUGAUACUGUGUCAUACAGUUUCUUCAACUCAAUUUCCUUUGUCUAGCAUCAAAUGAAACCAAAUAUUAAGCCAUUAGCGGUGUCUAAGACAUAUUCGUAUAAAAAAAAUACUCGUAUUUGACAUUCAUUCACAAAUAAAAAAUCUCAGAAUAAACCUUGGACCAAUCCUUAGCAGCAACACCACUUUUCCAAUCGAACUCAAUGGUCAUCUUGACAGGAGGCUUGUGUUUAUUUGCCCAAAAACAAGUGGUGUAAUCCCCACUCUCUGCUGCUGUAAAUGCAAAUGUACCUGAAUCCACUUGAUCUCCUAGGUGAUAAUUGUUCCCCUUUGGUGAACUCACCCUAUUUCAUCAUUUAUUUAAUUUCGCAAACACAGAAACAUUUAACACAAAAAUCAUCAAAAUUGUUUACAACAUACCCUGACUACCAGUUUAUGAGAAUCAGGAAAAGGUUGACCUUCACUUGGAUUCACAAUGCUGUAUUUCCCAACCGUCAUUGCAUUUGCCUUUAUGUCCUCUGCAAUGCAUUUGGUUUUCCCAGAAUCCAGCUCAAAUCUCAUCGAUUCCCCUAUCUCUGUUUCCACCACUAAUCCUAUCAUUAUCACGAUUAAACCCAGAUUUAAUCCACACAUUCUUGUCUUAGAUUAACAAAAACCAAUAAUCCCUGUUUUUUUUUUUAAUAUGAAACUUCCCAAACUUCGGAUGAGAUAUAUUUUAGUGGCUGAAUCAUAGGAUGUAAGUUCUUUAACUGAUACAAAGUUAGUACUUUUGUAUAAUUUUAAAAGUCCACCACGACAUUUUAGAUGUUUUUUAUUAAGACUUUUCCAAUCAAACAUUACCAUUUGUACAUAAUCUAUACUCUAAACACAAUAAUAUGUACAAAUCAAUUGUAUGAAAGUAAUUUUCACUUACUAUUGGCUCAUGCACAACUCCAAAACAACAGCAGCAACAAAACCAAGGCUUUGAAAUACAAACUCAGUCUUUGUACAUACAUAAUAUGUAAGUAAUUCAUCAGAAAACUUGUAUCCCAAAGCCUUGUUUAUUGCUGGUGUUAUACAAAUGUAUUAUAUGAUAUUGUAUCAUUUAAUCAGAAAAGCUUGGUAAUGAAGAGAGUAUUUAAGUUGAAGCAUUUAUAGAGAUGGAGAAAUGGCAAUGCUAGGGGACCAUAUAUAUUACAACAUUAUGAGUAAUUUUACCAGGAUGGUGACCACAUUUUACUUUCAGAAUCUCUAGCUACCCACUUUAUUCCAUUCCAUUCCAUUUUUUCUUAAAUCAUUGAAUGUAUAUUACGGUAAUUUGUAUUCCAUUAGAAAUAUAUUUUUAUAUAUACACAUCCACUUAUAUCGGUGUAAAAUUAAUACGAUUUACAUCAUUUUCAUAAUUUUUUUUUAGGAUUGAUAUUUAUCCAUAUAAUUGCACAUAUUAUGCAUGUAAAAUUUUAAAUCGAUUAGAUAUCUCUGUCAUAUUGAUCUAAAAUAUUGCCCAUAUUAAAUAUAUAUUUAAUGGUUAAAUUUUUUAUAUAAAGUAAAUAGUUUAAUUUUUUUUUUACUAUAAACUUGACAUGCAUGAUCCAUGAAUAGAAAUAAGAUAUGACGUUUAAAUUGUUAUUAUAUCAAUCCCAAAAAAGGUUAUAAAAGAGAGUAAAACCUUGUUAGUUUUACAUUAUAUAAUUGGAUCCCUCCCCUAUAUGUAUAUCAUAAAAUGAACAUUAAAAAUUAAGGUUUUUUUUUUUAAGUAAAGGUGUUUAUACUCAUGAAAUUAGAAUUUAAUAUAUUCACAUUCAAUCCAAGAAAAGCUUACUUUUGUCCAUGAUGCUUUUUGAAUAAAAAAAAACCCACAUAUGUUGUAGAAAUUGACACUUAAUCUCUAAAUUCUUUAAUAACACAACACUGAUGAAGAAUGUGUAUCUAAUUGGAAUGGGAUAGAGAGGACCAGAUUCAUUAUUUAUAGAAUGUGUAUCUUUCCUAUCAACACUCAUUUUCAUAACAUGUCUCUAAGAAUUUUAAUUAUUCAAAUAGACACAAAUUCAAAUAAUAUAAUUAUUAUUUUUUAAAAAAAUACAUGUUUAACUAAUCAAUUGGAUUUAGAUUUAAAUAAAUUAUUAAAUAAUAUACAAUAAUAUGUAAUAAAUAUCAUAAAGGUCAUGUAAAUUCUUGCAUCCUCCCACUUCGACUCAAAAGUUAUUACUUUCAUGAUUUAACAAUAAAGAUUAUAGAAUUGAAAUAUGCGAUAAGAAUUUUGAAAUAACCUUGUAAUCUUUUUAAUCUAUCAUAAAGUAUUUCAAUUCUUAUCACAUAUGUCGCGUCUCUCAUAUCCAUUUCAAAAUUCUUAGAGAGAAACUUUUUGGUUGCAUAGAAUAAACCAAAAUCAUUAAUGGCUAGCAAAAUAUCGUCAACGUAUAGUGUUGACACCAUUUUUUUGAUGAAAACGGGGUCGACUUGGGUUUUGAAAAAUGAAAAUAAAAACGGGAGUCGCCACCAAUCCUUUUAAAUAAGGUGUGAUUGGAUCACCUCGAAAAUUGUUUGUUUUUAAUAAACGAUUUAAUUUUUAUUAAAAUAACGAUUUUGGUCCACGAAAUUCAAAGAAAUGGGUUCGGGAGUCGGUUACGUACGAGGAAGGAUUAGCACCCUCGUAACGCCCAAAAAUUGGUACCUAGUUGAUUAGUUAAUGUCUUAAUGUCGAAAAUUGAAAACUUUGAAGAAUUUUAAAAAUACGAUCAUAAAAACUUUUGAACAAUAUGCGUCGAAUUUUAAGAUUCUCUUAUUCCGAAAGAAUAUCAUAUCCAGCACCUUAGGAUAUGAUACUUUAAACUCUCGAAACCAAGAUCAUCUUAUGGUUUCCAAAACCCGUACUUUGAAAUUUUUAAAAGGAUAUCAAGCUAUUUGGCUAAACGAGAAAUCGAAACCCAACACAUUAGGACACGUUUACUCGAAUUUCCAAACGCAAAAUAUUGCCUUUAUUAUUUUUUAGAAAAAUCAUCAUCUCGAGAAAACUACAUGUCAUAUCCAAUGCAUUAGGACACAACGUAUUGAAUUCCCGAUAAUGAGCUUCUUAUUAUUUUUAAAAGAGUAAUCUCGAUUAUUUAGAUUCAACGAAGAAAAUCGGAACCCAACACAUUAGGGCUCGAUUCUCUCAAAGAUCCUAAAUACCGAGUAUUACUUAUAUUUUAAAACUUCUUUUUACGAAUUUGAAUAAAAGCUAUAUAUGAUAAAAUAAUAAUUAUGAUGAUGCAAGUAAAAAUAAUAUGAGCAGCAGUGAUAAAAUUAAUGAAUAAAAGGACAAAUUAAUGACAUGCAACAUAACAAAUACGUGAACGAAUUAGAUUAAAAUAAUAAUAAAGACAUGAAUAAAUAAUCAAAAUGAAGAUGAACAAAAUUAUAAAAAUGAUAAACAUAUGUAGGUGGAAAUCAUAAAAUCUAAAAAGUAAAACAACAAAGAUAUACGUAAAUAUACCAAUAAACAUCAAGUAAAACAAAGAUACAAGAAAGAAAGAAAGAAGUAAAUAAAUAAAUUAUAGAAGUAUGCGUAUAUUUUAAGACUAUAAAAAGAAUAUAUGUAUAUAUAAUUUUAAGAUAUAAAAUCUAUGAAGGUACAUAUUUAAAGCUUUUAAGUUUUAUAAUAUAAAAAAAUAUGUAUAUGUACAUGCUCGUAUAUGAAAACUAUAAAAGGUAUGCAAAAGUAUAUAUGUAUAUAUAUAUAUAUAAGCUAUUAUGUAAUAAUAAUAAUAUGAUAAGUAACAAUAAUAGAAAUAAUAAUAAUAAUAAUAAUUACUGAAAAAAUGGACUAAAUCGAAAUAAAAACAAAAAUACUGGGCGAAUUCGAAAUAAAUAAAAAAGGACUAAAGGGACUAAAUUGUGACAUGCGCCGAAAUAGAGGGGACCAAAAUCGGAAAUAAGCCAAAGUCCCAAAACGCAGCACUGAAAUGGACCAAAUUGAAACGAAAACAACAUUAUGGGGCUAAAUUAAAAAAACAAAUGAAUGAGCAAUAGAAAAUCAAAACAAAUUGAAAAUUAGAAGGGGCCAAAAGCGAAAUGGCCCAUUUAACAGAAAACACGCGGAUCUGAUCUCCGGGUCGGGUCGGAUCAUGUUAACGUUGAAACGACGCCGUUUUGGCGCCUGAACCUUAGGCCCAAAACGACGUCGUAUGAGCACUGAGAUAAAUAUAAAAUUUUAACCUAAAAAUCAUUUUUCAGCAGCCCUCCCCUGUUUUAAAAUUUCUUCUUUCCAUUUUCUCUGAGUUUCAGACCCUAGUGCGGCCGACUCCGGCAUGUUGCCAUCACAGCGCCGCCGUGGCUCCGCCGUGGACGGUGGUUGGGGCCACGCAAAAUCUACCCUUUUUUAACCGUUUUAAAAAAAUCUUUGAAGGUCAAGCCUCCUAGGCCUCAAUGGCUGAAAGAAAAACCCCUCUCGCCCUUACGUGGUCCAACUUCGGCGAUGGGGAAGAAGAUUCCGGCGACGGGACCCGCGGGGCGAACCUAGGUGCUUUUCUUUCCUCUUUCCUUUUUGUUUUAUUUUUGUACGCGUAAAAUAAGGUAAGAAACACACAAUAGCAGUAGACUAAAAAUGAAAGAAAAUAAAACAGAAAUAUAAACCUUAACUUUUUAUUGAUCUUUGAAUAAUCCCCCCCUCCGAUUACAGUGAUGAAGCCCCCCCUUACAAUGGUUUUUUGCUUGGCUUUUAUAGCCAUUUUACACUUUUUCUCUAUUAUUAUUUGCUGUCACUUCCUAUUUGAUUUUGCAGGUGCAGGUGGAAGAGCGGCGCUGAAGGAGCGGCGAGGGCAGAACAGUUGGUGGCUAGGGUAGGUUAGGGUUUCUGUCACUAGUUUAGGUUGUGGGCUAGGUUUAUUUUGGGCUGAAUUGGGUAAAAUUUUUUUAGACUUAUAGACUGUUAAUUGAUUUUGGUUUGGUUUAUUUGGUACGGGCCCGGGCAAAUUUGGGCUUCUACAUAUAGAAUAAGAAAAAUAAACUUGCUCCCACUGACCUGAUCAAUGGUGUGUUCCUUAAAAUCAAAGGAAGUUAAACUUAAUAUACACCAUGUAUUUAAACCCCCAUUAAGAAAGAUAGUUUUGUAUCCAUUGGGUACAACUCUAAAUUAUAAUGGUUUUGUAAUCAAUGUCUUCUUUUUAAUUGAAACCUUUGGUGGUAAGUCUAGCUUUAAAUCGUUCAGCAUUGUCUUUUGAGUCACGCUUACAAUAAUCUUCUUUUACAAUUUUUAAGCAAAUCAACUAGAUCCAAAACUUUAUUUUUAGUCAUCUUUCCAUUUUUUAAAAAUACUAUAAAAUCCUUUACCAAGGUUUUUUUUUACCAAUUUUUUCAAGGGAAAAGUGUUACUAGCUUUAUCUAGUCAAUUAAAUUUUAAGACAUAAAGAGUUUGAAAUAAAUCUAAAUGAUGUUCAAUAUCUAAAAUUACACUGUAAGUGUCAAUGUCGUUAAUUGAAACUUUAUUUCCAUCUCCCAUGUAAACAAAGCUAUCACUUUAUGGUUUGGGUUGUAACGGAUUUCGGCC
rnacentral:lncRNA from 1 species